AAUUAUCAUUAAAAAAAAAACAAUUUCAACUAAUUAAGAUUGUGAAUUUCACUUAAAUUAAGUUUUUUUGUUCAUUUUAAAAGUUGUGACUAGUUGACUUUUCAUAUAAGUAUCAUUUCAAAGAAAACAAUUUUAAUUAAUUUCAAAAGUUAUGAAUUCCACUUAAAUUGAAAGGUUAUGUGUUCAUUUUAAAAGUUUUGACUAUUUAGUAUGAAAAAAUUGUGACCUUUCACAUAAGUAUCAUUUCAAAAAAAAAAAACAGUCCAUAUUAAUUCCAAAAGUAGUAAAUUCCACUUAUUGAAUGGUUAUGUUUUCAUUUUAAAACUUGUGACUAUUAAAAAUGAAAAGUUGUGACUUUUCAUCUUAGUAUCAUUUCAAAAAGAACAUGUUUUAGAUUGAAAAGAUGUGACUAUUCAAAUAGAUUUUUGAAGUCUAUAAAUAGUUUAUGUCCAAGCCUUUCUCAAAGUAAAAUUUUACCAAUCUAAUAAAAUGGAAAGAAAAAAGUUAUGUGCCAUUACCUGAUUACAAACUUUUAGAAAAUAUUCAAAUGAAACAUUGUCAAACAAAAAAUAGUAGGAAGAGUUUUACGUGUUUGGAUAGCCAAAAUCCAGAAUGAAAAAAUGAAAUCAUUAGUUUUAAACUUUUAAUCUUCUUUUACAAGAUGAGAAGGUUUGUUUUCCAUACUAACAAAUUUUUUGUGAUAUGUACUUUUCAUGAACACAUGUUUCAUGUUCUAUUUCUUCCAACAAAAAUUACAUUCAUGUCGGUAUAGUUGAUACCAUUCACUAAACCUCACUAGAUCAGCCAGAUUCUUCACCAUCCGCCAUAGGUGCAUUCAAAUAAGAAUAUCUUUGCAACCAUGAGGAGUUUGACCGUGAAAUCACUUGCUAUAAUAGAUUAUCAACUCAACCAGAGCACGCGGCGAAUUGAUUUCAUACAGAAAGGAAAAAUGGUUUACGAGAUAUACCAUUUACAAGUCAGACGAACUGCACUAUAUACGAGCUGGUUCAAUUUAAGGAAAGUAAUUAUUUCUUCAAGGAGUGUGUACCUAAAACUCACGUGUGAAAACUAGGAAUAGAUUUUUUUCUUUAUUGGCUUUUUUUACUUCAUUACAUCUAAGACCACUUAGAGAGUUGAUACCAUGCAUUAAACCUCAUUGGAUCAGCCAGAUUCUUCACCAUCCGUCAUGGGUGCAUUCAAAGAAGGAUAUCUUUGCAACCAUGAGGAUUUUGACCGUGAAAAAAACUUGCUAUAAAUUCUCAACUCAACCAGAGCACGCGGCGAAUUGGUUUCAUACCAAAAGGAGUAAUGGUUUACGAGAUAUACCAUUUACAAGUCAGGCGACCUACACUGUAUUCGAGCUGGUUCUAUAUAAGGAAAAUAAUUAUUUGCUUAAGGAGUGUGUAACUCAAACUCACGUGUGGAAACCAGGAGAUCAUUCAUUACAUCUAAUACCACUUGGAGAGUUGAUACCAUGCACUAAACCUCUCUGGAUCAGCCAGAUUCUUCACCAUCCGACAUAGGUGCAUUCAAAGAAGGAUAUCUUUGAAACCAUGAGGAGUUUGACCGUGAAACCAUCUGCUAUAGAUUCUCAACUUAACAAGAGCACGCGGCGAAUUGGUUUCCUACCAAAAAGAUUAAUGAUUUACAAGAUAUACCAUUUACAAUUCAGGCGACCUACACUGCAUCUGAGCUGGUUAUAUUCAAGGAAAGUAAUUAUUUGCUUAAUGAGUGUGUAAAUUAAACUCACGUGUUAAAACAAGGAGACAUUCAUUACAUCUAAUACCAUUUGGAGAGUUGAUACCAUGCACUAAAGCUCACUGGAUCAGCCAGAUUCUUCACCAUCCGACAUAGGUGCAUUCAAAGAAGGAUAUAUUUGAAACCAUGAGAAGUUUGACCGUGAAACCAUCUGCUAUAGAUUCUCAGCUCAACAAGAGCACGCGGCGAAUUGGUUUCCUACCAAAAGGAUUAAUUAUAUACAAGAUAUACCAUUUACAAUUCAGGCGACCUACACUGCAUCCGAGCUGGUUCUAUUCAAGGAAAGUAAUUAUUUGCUUAAUGAGUGUGUAAAUUAAACUCACGUGUUAAAACAAGGAGACAUUCAUUACAUCUAAUACCAUUUGGAGAGUUGAUACCAUGCACUAAAGCUCACUGGAUCAGCCAGAUUCUUCACCAUCCGACAUAGGUGCAUUCAAAGAAGGAUAUCUUUGAAACCAUGAGGAGUUUGACCGUGAAACCAUCUGCUAUAGAUUAUCAACUCAACAAGAGCACGCGGCCAAUUGGUUUCAUACCAAAAGGAUUAAUGAUUUACAAAAGGCAAAAGAAUCUCGAAACAGCAAAAGGCAGGACAACCUUGUGUAACAAGAAAAAAACUUAUAAAAAGUUCAACAUCGGAGAUAAACUGUGACAACUCUCGGCAAAAGAAUCUCGAAACAAACUUUCUUUCGAUUAGCUCUUGAGGAUUCCAGAUGACGAAACCAUUGUUGCUUUUGCUCCAUGAGAUUAUUGAAUCCAACAAGGAUCAUCCACCACCUCGUAUAUAUCGCUGUAAAACGAACACAAUCCCUUUGGAUAUUCGUGAACCAUCUCUACUACACACCAAAAGAACAGAUGUGACGCCUAUCUCAAACCCUAACAUGGUAGAAGAAAACACUAAUCUUAUAACAUACUAGCCCCCAAUUCGUUUUCUUGUGAGUAAAAUUUGUUUCGAUUAUUAUUUGGUUUAGUAAUGAUCUAAACCAGCUUAAGCAGGGUCAACUAAAAUACCGGAAUGAUCAAGAAAGCUCUUGACAAAAGAGAGGAAUGCAGACUACAUGGAGAGUUUCAGAAUGUGACCAGAAACCAUGCAUCACAAGUUAGCUGGGUUAGCCUGGUUUCUCAGGUGUAGAGACGUGGAUCACAGUGGAUAAAGAACACAGAAAAACACACAGUUGAGAAGGCUGCGAAGAUGCUAUUUGUAAGGCUACGCCUACUAAUAGAAGACAUUCUUGUAGGGGUUGCAGCCACAGUUUUUCCUUGGCAUUCACAAGACUUUUGGUUGUUGUUAGUAAGAGAUGUUGAGGGGACAUUCAUCGCAACUCAUAAGAGAUGAAGCUACCAUUUAAAUCUUGAUGUUUGAUGAUUAUUUUACAGAAUAGCAUCAAAUAUAGGUCAAGAAGAAAUACAUGUAUCCUUUUCUAAUAUUAUUAUUUUAAUAAAGCCUUGAUGCAAGAAAGCAACUGAAACAAGAACAAGUGCUACAUGUGCAGUGAUCAAAUUUGUAGAUGUCGGAAGCUGUUCUCCAGUGGCGUUUUAGCUUUGGUUGAAUGCCCCAUAAUUUGGUCGAACCUAAUACGUGCAUCUUCGAGACACAUCUUCCUAUAAGAAGGUUGAUCUCCCACACAGCCCUUCUUCUCUGCUUCUGCUUUAGCUCUAGCUUUGGCUGCCUUGAGAUCUUUCUUCACCCUACCCCAGGCAACUUUGCGACGCAGCUUAAUCAUAAGCUCAGGUUUACCUCUCACAAAGUAUUGCUCAUGUCCAAAUUCCAAGUGCUCAUCAGACCCCUUAAUUCUUACAAAUCCCUACCAACCAGCAAGAAGCUCAGAUUUUAAAACCCGCAAAGAUUCCAAAAAAAAAAUCGGGUGAUACCAUAUUAUAAAAUAAAACAUACAUGGGAUUUAAGAUCUUUGAUAAAAUGUGACAACUUGUUGCGAAAGAAUCUCCUAAGAAUCUUUUUCUCGACAAGCUCUUUAGGAUCCCAGAUGACAAAACUCUUGUUGCUUUCGCUCCAUGAGAUUAUUGAAUCCAGUGAUGGAUCAUCCACCACCUUGUAUAUACCUGUGUAAAACUGAGACAGCGACAUCCACGCCAUAGCUCUUCAAACCCUAGAACAAACGAACGUGAAAAAAUAAUCCAAGAUAUCGACACCAACCCUAAUUAUCAAGAAAAGCGUGUGGGACCAUAUACAGUAUAUCUUAUUUCUUUGGGCUAUUUUUGGGUUUUUGCAUUCAUUUUCUUAUGCUCAUUGGGCUCUCAUUCUGCUUGGAUUAAUUCGUUAAUUUAACUUACCUUUGUGUGUGGUUAUUAAUCCCUGUUCUAAAACGCGGCCGCUGUGACCGGAUUUGCGGUGGUUAAACGCUCGGCGGUGCCUGUCCGUGGCAAUUGCCACCUACUCGGCCAACUAGGCGGCUAGUUGAAAAGUAAACUAUAUAUUGUGGAGUAUAUUAUGUUUCCUUGGCAUUCACAAGAAUUUUGUGUUGUUGUCAGCAAAAGACAUUCAUCACAAUUUUAUAAAGAGGAAAGCAACCAUUUAAAUAUUACACAAAGUAACUUGACAAGGUUUGAUACAGAAUAGCAAUAGAAGGUCAAAUAAAGGUUAAGCAAAACAUGCAUUGUUUUACUGGAAAGCCUCAAUUAUUUUAGCAAAGUCUAAUUAUUUUAGCAAAGUCUAGGGAGCAACUGGAACAAGUGAUCAAAUUCGUAGAUGUCGGAAGCGAUUCUCUAGUGGCGUUUUAGCAAUCGUUGAUGAUGAUGAUUCAAAUAUUUGCUUGUACCUCAUCCUUACUUCGUCGGCAUCUAUUAUAAUCCGAGGCUCACGUCUCACAGUCAUAGAGCCGUUUUUCUCUGCUUCAGCUCUAGCUUUGGCUUUCUUGGCACUUUUCUUCAUCCUAUUCAUCGCAGCUUGGAGACGCAUCUUCUUCAAAAGCUCAGGUUUACCUCUCACAAAGUACUGCUUAUGUCCGAAUUCCAAUUGCUCAUCGGACCCCUCAAUUCUUACAAAACCCUACGUACCCACCAAACAAGAGAAAUUCAGAUUCAAAACUGAAAAUUCAUGUUACAUAUCCACAAAAUAAAACUUACGUAUGUGUCAAGUUCGGUGAUAAACUGUGACAGAUUGCAGCAAAAGAAUCUCUUAAGAAUCUUUUUCGUGAAUAGCUCUUUAGGAUUCCAGAUGAUAAAACUCUUGUUGCUUUUGCUCCAUGAGAUUGUUGAAUCCAAUGAAGGAUCAUCCACAAUCUCAUAUAUUGCGACGUGGAACUGCAGCAUCCCCUCCACCCCUAAACACGCUUCAAAUCCUAAUGUCUUUCAAAAACGAAAAAUUGGUAUAAUAUUUUAACAUUUUACCAAAAAAAAAAAAAAAACCCUAAAAUCCUCCAAAAUGUAAAUAAUCAAAGAUCUCGAAACCAACGCUCAUAUCAAUACAUAUCUCUUAUAUAGGUUCCACCUAGUUUUAGUGGGCUUUUGCAUUUGUUUUCUUAGACUAGGUUUAUAUAUAAAAAUGUAAAAUAACUUUUCAUAUUCUUUUUUAUGUCAACUCUUUUUAUUUUCUUUAUAUGUAUUUAAAUUACUAAACAAAUAAUAAAGAGAAAAAGACUAGAAUAGCACUAAACCAAGUUUUUGUUCCCAAAAUAGCACUCAACACUCGAAGUCACAAAAAUAGGUUUCAUUAAAGAGGUAAAUAUACACUUAUACCUCUUGGGUUAAUUAAUCCAAACCUUAGGGUUUAGAGUUAAGGGGUGGGAUUUUAAAAUUAGGGUUUAAAAUUUUAUAAAAAUAAAUACUAAAAUAAAAAAUAAAAAAUUUUAAAAACAGUUUCAAAAAGUAUUUUUAAAUUAUAAAAAAAAAUUCAAAAAAAAAAAGUUUCAGAAAAAUAAUUAAAAAAAAAUCGAAUCUGAAAACAUAUAAUCUAAAACUAUAAAAAAAAAUUUCUUUUUUUAUUUAUUUAUUUUUAUUUAUUUAUUUAUUUUUAUUUAUUUUUGUUUGUUUAUUUAAUUUUAAACCGAUGAUAUUAGGGAUAUAUUAUCCUUUAAUGAAUGUCAUUUUUGUGACUUUCUUCUUCUAUUGCUAUUUUUGAGACAUAAACUUCAAAAGAUGCUAUUAUUGACAAUUGCCCAAUAAUAAAUAAUCUUUCCCAGCUAUGAAAUCUAUUUAUAUAUAUAAAUUUAAAUAAUAAAAAUUAAAUUACUGAAAAUUAUAAGCCACAUUUCUCUUCAAAAAAGACCUUGCUUCAAGUUCGUGAGAAUAAGCCACAUUGCAACGGGAGCAGAGCAGGUUGGUUCACUCACUCAACCCCAAAGUUCUCAUUCAUCACCUGGCUAUCGUUGAAAGACCAGCUCACAACUGGAGACGGGAUGUUACAGAUGAAUACAUCUGCAAGCCUCAUUCUUUUUAUUCUUUGAUAUAUUUACGAUUCUUUAAACUUGAAAGCACAAGUUGCAGACUUGAAAGCACAAGUCAUCAUCUGGAAGUUUUUUCUAUUUGAAUAUAUAAAUUAACAUUCAUUCAAGAAAAAAAGAGUUCCACGAACUUGUGAUCGAUCAAUCAGGAAGCUCCAAUAAAGGGAAAAAAAUUCUAGAGUUCCUAAAACUUGAAAAUGCUUGGUGUUUGACAACUGGAUACAUAGUUCCAAUAUGAGGUAGACAUCAUAUCUCUCAAUAUGAGAUAUCUUCAUGUACAACCCUUUUUAAUUGGUAAAUUGAAUGUUCACACAAGCAAAACAAAGCAAAGAUAUGCAAAACACAGAAGUCCAUAACUCAAUAUUGACUGACCAGAAGGUCCCCUUUAAGGGAAGUGCAUGUAUUCCAUUACAUAUAACUAAGCACAACAAGAUGAACUCACUGCCCUAUCCAUGGCCCUAUCUGGUAGAACCAUUCCUGUUGGAUUUUCUGUUGGUUGUACUCUCGGUAACCUUCUUGCUGUCCCGGUCAAAAGAGAAAGGUAUAACAGCAUUUAGUAAUAGAAGCAAGAAAAAAAAACAGUGUGAAUUUGAAUCUAGAGUGUUUACAAUAUCUCACCAAUUUCAUAGAAUAUCUCUUUGACAUUAGCAGCGGUUUUGGCUGAAGUUUCCAUGAAGAAAAGACCGUUCUCCUGAGCAUAUGUUUGCGCCUCCUACAAGAAACACCAUUAACGUUUUCUCACAUUAGCAGCAAAAUUCAGAAGCCAAGACAGUAAUGACACUAAAUACAGCUGAACACGAUUUCUCACAUGAUGGAUCAGCUAUUAAGCUAUUACACACACACACUCAUCUCAACUCUAAACUUGAAAGCAAUAUCCAAACAUCACAAUGAGAAGUUAGGACAGAGAAAUUGCUUACCUCUGCAGUAACCUUCUUUGCAUCUAAUAAAUCAGAUUUGUUUCCAGCAAGGGCCAUGACCAUAUUAGUGUUACCUACUCACACAAAACACACAUAAAUAGUAAGUGGAAAUCAUAAAAAAAAAUAUUCUAACCAUAACUUAUUAUAGCUAGAGACAAUACCUUGUGCCUGCAGUUCCUGAACCCAUUUCUUUGCCCUCUCAAACGAAGCCUGAGAAGUUAGCAAAAAAAGAACUUAGAAGAAAGCGCAUCCAAUGAUCAAUACACUUUUUUAAAACAGGUAAUCAAGAGUUGGUAACUUGAUUAGUAACGUCAAAGACAAUGAUAGCAGCAGCAGCACCCCUGUAGUACAUUGGAGCAAGACUAUGGUAACGUUCCUGGCCUGCUGUAUCCCAUAUCUCAAACUUAACAGUCGCAUCGUUAACAGCUAACGUUUGCGAGAAAAAGGCUGCACCUAUGGUUGAUUCCUAUAACAAAAAAAAAAGAUUUAUCAGAGUCAAGAAGAAGAACACAACAGAAUGUGAAAAAACAACAAGUAAGAAGACAAACCUGGAACUCAACAAACUGAUCUUUAACAAAGCGUAAGACAAGACUGGAUUUCCCAGCGCCAACAUCUCCAAGUAACACCUGAAAGCUUAAACCAAAUUACAGAACCAAAUCAAAAACUUUAACAAUCAGAUCAAAAUUCUCAAGGGCUCGGAUCAUCGGAGAAAGAAAUCAAAAGGGGGCUAAAUUGAAAUCACAAAAAAAGAAUGGAGCUUUUGCAUGAGUGAGUGAAACAAAAGACGGACCAGUUUGGCGUUAAUGGUCUUGUUUCCGGAGGUAGCCAUGAUUAUCUAUCCGAUCACAGUCUCGUCGUAGCUCGAGAAAUCUUCAGCUCGUGGAUGAGAACGAGAUUGAAGAUCAAAAGACAGACCAAAUUGCAAGGAUAGAGAGAACACAGACGCGUCGGCAACAACAACCACUUCUCUCUCUCUCCAGAAGAUAAAUAAAUGCAGUAUUUUAAAUCACACGAAAUUAAAGGAAACAAAUAUUUACACGGCAAGUCAGAUAUCACACGAAUAAUAACAAGAGUUAUUAUACCAUUUAUUUAAGCAUUUAAUUACAUUUUUUGUGUUUAUGUUAAUCUAUAUUAUUAUUAUAGGCAAUUGUCAAUAAUAGCAACUUUUGAGUUUCUCUCUUAAAAAUGAUACUAAAAAAGAGAAAAUCAUAAAAAUGACAUUUAUUAAAAGAUAAAAUAUCUCUAAUUAAUCAAAAAGUAAAUAUCUCUAAUUAAUCACCAUAGCGUUUUGUUUUGGUUCAAGUGAUUCUAGGAUUCUCAAUUCUCACUCAAGCUCUUAAGGAUUAUCCCAAGCUUGGCAGAGGUUAAAAUAGUUGUACUAGCCUAAGUUACAAAGAAAAAAAAAAUAGUUGUACUAGGGAGAUUAUUGGAAGAAGAGGCGGAACCUUCAAGUCAUCUUUUGAAUCCAAAGAAUAUAAUCUAAACAUUUUACCCAUCUUUUAGCCAAAAUAUGGCUUUCACUUCCUCUAUAUACUAUAUCCUUCGGUAUUUUAAAUUGCUCAAUUAACACUGAUUGCGACAAAUGAUAAACUGUGUAUGCUCUCAAAUAUUAGUUUCAUGAAUGGAGUUGAAAAAAAGAACAAGAUAGAUACGUUAAAGAAAGAGUUGGUCUAAGAAAUGAAAACGGUAAUCUCAACUGUACUAGUAGCGUGGUCUAGUGAUGAGCUAUACAAGAAGUUUUGUUUGGAUGGGAAUACAUACUAGAUGUUACAUGAAACAAAAAAAAUAUAUGGAUGAGAGAGAGAAGCGAUUGUGGAAUAAGAUUCUGAUUUCUGAAGUAAAUUUGAGAUCUUUUUGGAACAUAAUUAGUGUUUAAGCUAAAAGUAAAAAACCUUGUUGCUUUGAACCUAACACAUUUUCUUCAUAAGAGCUUUAUAUUUACAUUCAACAGAAAAUAUUUGCUUCACUGUCUUUUCUCAAGUGUUUUCUUCAAUCCCUUCACUAUCUUACCAAACCACAUCAAGUUCAUUACACUCAACGCAAUCGGUACUACGAAUACCAGUAGAUAACCGAAUGUAUUCAUCUGUACCACCUGCCAAAAAAGUCCAUAGAUCAUAUAAAUUCGCUACCUCUAAUACCAACCAGCACCAACAGCAAUAUCAGAGUGUAAAGCUAGACCGUUCGGUGGAAAAACCGGUUUGGUCAUUAAACCGAAAACUUAGUUACCUGAUCGUAGUGUAUGUAGACAUGGUAAAACAUGUAGAUGAACAGAAGUAUUCUUGCUGUCUGCAAACACAACAUGAAUCCUUAGUCAUUUUACAGAUUCUAAACAAAAUAAAAAAGGUAUACAAAAACUCACCAACCAAGCCAAGAAAAUAGCAACUCCAUUAAUAAGAUAAGCUUUAGACCGCUUCAAACCAGCAGUAUCAAGGUACCAUCUAAGAUUGAUAGAUGGUGUAGUCACUUCAGAUAUUAGAACCAUGUAUGUGUAAAGCUGAGCCUCUCCUGAGAACAGAGAAUACGCUACUGCUACUCCAGAUAAGCUGUGAUGGAAAAUCUAUAGAGGAAAACAGCCAUUAUCAUUUAUCAGCCAGAUCAAGAUCAUUAAAACCAAUGGAUAGAACACAAAAGCUGUCUUGUGUCUACAACUUACAUAUUCUAAUCCCCCUAAAGAAGGGUAAAGCCAAAUGAUCAUUCCAAGAUCAGCAAGAAAGUAACCAACUGAUACCUAUGACAAACACACCAAUGCUCAUCAGGAUGGUUUCAAGAAGAAACAUGAGAAGUGAGUAAGAUGAAAACUUACUCCUAAACCAAAGUUAGAUAGAGGCGAGCUACGAAACACCAUAAGGCCUUGAAGACUUGUUUGGUCAGAAAACAAAUCAGAGAAGAACACAAAGUAGAGUGCCAUCAAUGAGAUAAAUAUCGCAUGGACUGUAGAAAUUCCCCUGCCAAAGUGAUAAAAGACAAAGAACAAAAAUAUAAACAGGCUGAAAAUAAAGAGCAUAUCUAGUAUGUGGACACUCGCCUGUUGUUCCAUUCAAUUCUCUUCAUUUUUGUGAGAGCUGAGUAUGAUUUGAUAUGAAUAGAGCUGAAUGACUCCAUAAGAUCAUAGACCUAUUUAUCAAAAAUAGUAUAAGCUACACACGUCAAAUCAGAAAGAAAGGAUGUGAGGUUUGAAAUUGCAUGUGAACUAGAACCAUACUUACCAUCUUGCAGAGAAAUAUUCCAGCAAGAACAGAAGUAUAAGGAAGACAUGGAUCUGCUAACAGAUAGCGUUUAACAAAACCCUCUGCCUGAUUCUGGUAAGGCAUGACGUCCAUAACCGUCUCUAGCCUCGAUCUUCUGUGGUGAAUGGUUUUAGUUCUUCCUCUCAAACUUAACUUAGCUUCAUAAAAGAGAAAGAAAGUUCAUCUGAGUCAUUCUCUUCUCUCAAAACACAUUAAAUAAAAAUAUUAAAAUACAAUAUAACAUUUGAUGGCUUAUAGUCAUGGUUUUGUAAAAUACAUCAAAAGGAGCAAGAAUUCUUACAUUAACCUUCUCGAAUAUUCGUAUGCGCACGAAGACAACAAUUAAAAACUCUGUUUCUUGCUUUGUGUUUUGUUUAUCAGAGAAAACCUCAAGCCGAGACAACCUUAAAACUGUUAAACGAACAAGGAUAGACCCAUAAGCAAUCAACACGUGAACCGCGAAAAAAAAAAGAUGCAGAAAAACGCCAAGACGAUGAAGAAGAGUAAGAAGAAGGACGUUACAGAGAUGAUAUGGAUAAAAGGGUAUUUCUUUAGAAGCUUCAAGAAAUCAUCCAAGUAGGUAAUAAGAGAUUUUACUCAAUUACUUGAGUCGCAAGAGGUGCUGUAACCGAACAACUCACAAGUAGUUAUCUUAAGAAUAAUCGAGAGAAAAAAAAGUAAAUAAAAAUAAAUAAAGAUUUUUUUUCUAUUUAUUUAUUCCACUAAUUAAUUAACAAAGAGGUUUUGCUUGAAGAAUGCCUAGUAAGACGAUUUGAAUUGUGUUUUGCAAGAAAACUUAAGGGAGGAAGUUAACAGGGAAGAAUCUAAUUUUUAGUAUAUAAAUAAAGAAACUAUCUUCUUUUGGUUUUGUCUUAGAAAAAGGGAAGGUAGCUGGAUUUUAGGAUCAACCCAGUAUGUCUCUAUCUGCAAAAUAUUUGGUAUUUGGGUUAUGAAUUGUUUCGGCUUGUACAUCAAGUAAAAAUAAUGAGAAUAAAUGUUAUAUAGAUUUUGUUAGUAAGAUUGAACCAAACGGUAUAAUCUAAAUAUAUUAUUUUAAAAUAAUACAUAUUUUUUUUUUUAACACAAAAUAAUACAUAUAUAAUUAAAUACUAACUUAAACUAAGAAAAUUUUGAAAAUUAAUGUUUAUCAUUAAUAUUAAUUAGUAUUCGAAUAAGAUUAAAUAUAUGUGAAUUUGCUGCCAAAUGAUUUUUAGAAAAAAAUAUUCAUAUCCAUGACAUGAUUCAAAUGAAAAAAAAAAAUCUAAAAUAAUCAAAAACAUAAAGCAGUUUUAGAAAUCAAAACUAGUCCCCUUUGACCAUAACAUAUGCAAGUAAAUCAAGGUUGACGUGACCUAUUUUCUAACAUGUUGAACUAAAAGCAUUUAGACAGUUGAAAUUAUUUUGGAACUGGGACUAUCAAUGUUUGGUAGGCUUGUUAGCUUGAAGAUGUUAACCUAACAUAUGGGUUGAAUCUAUAGUAUGGACCACUUGAAAUUAACCUAACGCAGUUAAACAUUUGUGAAAUUAAAAAUAUCAGAAAGGCAGAAUACAAUACUCUACUCAUCAUUGUGAAAAACUCACCAUUUUCAUGGGUUUGAAGUCGUUUUAUAUAAGCUCGUUUAAUUCAUAUACAUGAGAAUUUGUAACGCUCACUUUAAUAAUACGAUUUUGUGUGAUAUUAUUGUUUAUCACUUUUGACACGUCCAAAUUUGACAAGUGUUUGGUAUUCAGAGGAAAUAUAUCAGGCUUAAUAUUUUUAAGUCAAAAGUUUGGAAUCAAUAAACCGAAUGUGGAACCGCUACAAACCGAAAUGGAAAUAUGGUCUAGUUUUGGUUAACUGUAUAAACCAAACCACAAAAUUGGAUCACGGAUUGAUAAGAAUCCUCCUCACACAUCCAUAAAUAUCACGGUUGGUUUCAAGAACAUGGAUUAUUUAUAUAACUUAAAAAUCAGAAAAUAAAAAAGCUAUAUGGCUUAAGAAAAUCGAAUGAAAACCCAGAAACAGAAUCGAUUGUCAGAUAAUUAUACCAUGUAAAGAACGUUGAGAGUAAAAGAUUAGAAGAAUAUUGUAUUGACUCUCAUAAUCCUUAGAUUUAUGUUACACACGUUUAUAUACUACUAUGAUUUCCUAAACGAGGCUAGAUAGUAGAUACAAAUAUAUGAGAAUCUAAAUAAUAAAUACAUAAUAUAUAUAUUUACAUCAUAAUUAUGAUACACUCCAAUAUCUUCAACAUCCUUCUGUAUUAUUUUCACGUUCCUUUAGCUAGGGUUUUUAUUAGGGAAUAGAAUAUUCUCAUUCUUGAGAUUAGGAUAACUUCCAUUAUAUUGAGAUAAUUCCAAUUCCGUUAAGGAAUAUCUUGUCUUUGGAGUUGUAUAUAUACGAUGUAUUGUCAAACUUGUUCAAUAAGAAAGUCUAUUCAGAAUAUCGUUUCCUAUCUUUACAUGGUAUCAGAGCAGAAAUUUUCUGUGACCUAGAAUUUUUUUUUUUUUUUUUCUGUUUAAAGUUCUUCGAAGUUCGGAGGCUUGUGUUGUUGUUACUGGUUCUCUGUGAGAUUCAGCAAAGAUGGUUGAAGGUGAUGAAUCAUCGGCUAUCAAGAGUGGAACAUCGGAUAACGUCAGUGACGUUGGCAACAAGAUUGCGACACCUUACUCUCUCCAUGCGUCCGAUAAUCCGGGUGCUAUGAUCACGUCUGUGACGUUGACAGGAGAGAAUUAUAAUGAGUGGUCUAGUGAAAUGACCAAUGCUCUUCGUGCCAAACGGAAGCUUGGGUUCAUCGAUGGAUCAAUUACGAAACCAUCCGCAACCGAUUCUAACUUGGAGCUUUGGCUUUCGGUUAACUCGAUGAUUGUGGGUUGGAUUCGAACGUCUAUAGAACCGCGUGUGCGGUCUACGGUUACGUUUGUUCAAGAUUCUCAUAAACUGUGGGAAAAUUUGCGCAAACGAUUCUCUGUGGGAAAUAAGGUGCGAGUGCAUCAUCUGAAGGAGCAGCUGGCUUCGUGUCGACAAGACGGUCAGCCUGUGAUUGAGUUCUUUGGGCGUUUGUCCAAGCUAUGGGAGGAGUUGGACAUGUAUUCACCGCUUCCAAGUUGUACUUGUGCAGCAGCUUCGGAGAUUGAGAAAGCUAGAGAAGCUGAGAAGAUGCAUCAGUUCGUAAUGGGCUUAGAUGAGGCUCGUUUUGGAGGAAUUUGUCAGUCGAUCAUCUCGUCAGAUUCAGAUUUGGAUAUUGGAGAGAUAUAUGCUAAAGUUGUCUGAGAAGAACAACGUCUUAAUUCAGCUAAAGAACGGGAGUCUCAGCAGAAUGCUAUUGGGUUCUUGGCUAAAACCGAAGCAGAGCAAACUACCCCUAGUGCUAACUCCACCGGUUCAGGAAAACGAUCACAGUGUGCUCACUGCGGGAGAACUGGUCACGAUAAAACAAACUGUUGGCAAUUGGUCGGCUUUCCUGACUGGUGGGAAGAACGUUCGUCGGCCAACAGAGGUGGUAAUGGAGGAAAUAGAGGUGGUUCUCGCGGUGGUCGUGGGCGUGGCUCAUCAAAUUCUUCGCGUAACACAGGAGCUCGUGUCAACAAUGCUCAUGCCACUACCUCCAAUUCCUCAUCCUUCCCAGGUUUCACAGAAGAACAAUGGACAGCUCUUACCCAGAUGAUCCACGAACGAACACGUCCAUCUUCUUCUGAUAAGCUUUCUGGUAAGAAGAGACAUGGUGACCUUAUAUUGGACACGGGUGCGUCCCAUCAUAUGACGGGCGAUUUCUCUCUACUGAUUAAUGUGUCUGUCAUACCACCGUGUCCUGUUGGGUUUGCGGACGGGAACAGAACGUUUGCAACUCACGUUGGCAGUUUGCCAUUAACAGAUCAAGUCACAUUGGAGAAAGCACUAUUUGUGCCGAACCUAAAUUGUUCUUUGAUUUCUGUUUCGAAAUUUUUGAGACAGACAAAUUGCUUUGCUCUUCUUACUGAUACAGUGUGUGUCUUGCAGGACCGUUUUACGAGGACGCUGAUUGGAGCCGGUAAAGAGCGAGAUGGGGUAUACUACUUUCAGGAUGUCAUGGCUGCAAGGGUUCAUCGUGUGACUAGUCCAGUGGUUAGUUCUGCUGAUCAGUUCAUGUGGCACCAACGGCUAGGGCAUCCGUCGUUUUCAGUGUUAUCGUCUUUACCUAUGUUUUCUACCAAUAAAACAGCUUCCCCUAGUCCAUGUGACACUUGUUUUAGGGCAAAGCAAACCCGAGAAGUUUUCUUUAACAGUUCAAAUAAAUCUAAAGAGUGUUUUGAUAUGAUUCAUUGUGACGUAUGGGGACCAUAUCGUACUCGUUCCUCCAGUGGAGCAGUUUAUUUUUUAACUAUUGUUGAUGAUCACUCAAGGGCUGUAUGGACAUAUCUCCUUCUUGAAAAAUCAGAGGUUAAAACCGUACUCCAAAACUUCUGUGCAAUGACGUCUAGACAGUUUGGAAAACCAGUGAAGAUUGUUCGUUCAGAUAAUGGGACAGAAUUUACUUGUCUUACACGAUAUUUUCGAGAACAAGGUGUGUUACAUCAGACGUCGUGUGUUGCAACGCCUCAGCAGAAUGGGCGUGUUGAGAGGAAACACCGACACAUUUUGAAUGUGUCUCGGGCAUUGCUGUUUCAAAGCAAGCUACCAGUUAAGUUUUGGGGUGAAGCCGUCAUGACAGCAUCCCACUUGAUUAACAGAACGCCUACUGAAGUUCUCAAAGGACGUUCUCCUUAUGAAAUAUUGUAUGGGAUCAAACCGCAGUAUGAUCACCUUCGUGUCUUUGGAAGCUUGUGUUAUACAUAUCGCCGGUCUCGUGACAAAGAUAAGUUUGGGCCAAGAAGCAGGCGAUGUAUCUUCCUUGGUUAUCCGUUUGGUCAGAAAGGUUGGAAGGUUUAUGACUUGGAUAAGAAGGAAUUUCUUAUCAGUCGGGAUGUUGUUUUCUACGAGAAUGAGUUCCCAAUGGCCUCUGUUCAAGUUUCCCCACCUGCGCCUGAUCCAUCUUCGACGAUCGUUUCUGAUGAGGAUUGGUUGCUACAAGCAGAAACGAAUUUAGACGAAAGGGGGAGCAGUGAUAUACCCCCUGCGAUCGAACAAGAAACAGAGAUGUCUGAUCCAGCUCAUCUCCCCACCGCAACAGAACACGUUGAGGAACUUCAGGUUUCUUCACCUAUAGUAUCUGAUACUCUUAAUACAAGUCCAGAGUCUUCCACUCCAGAAGAUCAGCUAGGACGUGGUCAGCGGGUUCGUGUGCCUCCAGCUAAGUUUCAAGAUUAUAUUGCUUACAACACAGUCACCAUAAAGAAUACCCCUCUCGCUCCUCUUUCCGCUCAAUCACUGUCCUCAGAUUCGGUUCCUGGUAAGACACCGUAUCCCCUGGUUGAAUACCUUUCUGAUGUUUCCUUCUCACCUGCGCAUCAAGUGUUUCUCGCAGCAAUAACUGCAGGUAUAAUACCGAAAAGCUAUUCUGAGGCUGUAAAAGAGAAAGUAUGGCGAGUUGCUGUUAAAGAUGAGGUAGUUGCACUUGAAGACCAGGGCACAUGGGAUGUGACUUCGCUUCCACCAGGCAAGGUAGCUCUUGGUUGUCAUUGGGUCUUUACGAUCAAAUAUAACUCUGAUGGGACCAUUCGGCGUCACAAAGCACGUCUUGUCGUUCGAGGAAAUCACCAAAUAGAGGGGGAAGAUUUCAAUGAAACUUUUGCGCCAGUGGUUAAGAUGACCACGGUUCGUGCGCUCCUUCGCAUUGCGGCUGCUAAAAAGUGGGAGGUUCAUCAGAUGGACGUUCAUAACGCCUUUCUUCAUGGUGAUCUCGAAGAAGAAGUUUAUAUGAGGUUUCCUCCAGGUUUUUCACAUUCUGAUCCUACAAAAGUGUGUAGGUUACGCAAGUCGUUAUAUGGGUUACGCCAAGCACCGCGUUGCUGGUUUGCGAAACUUUCUCAGGCUCUUACAAAGUUUGGUUUUGAGCAGUCCUAUGAGGAUGCCUCUUUGUUUAUCUACAUCAAAGGUGAAGUUGAGAUAAGGGUUCUGAUCUACGUUGAUGAUUUAGUCAUUGCGAGCAAUUGUUUGGAGCGGCUUGAGAAGUUUAAAACAUACUUGGGUACUUGUUUUCAUAUGAAAGAUUUGGGACGAUUAAAAUACUUCUUAGGCAUUGAAGUUGCUAGAUCAGAUGAGGGUAUUUUUUUAUCUCAACGGAAGUAUGUUCUUGACAUCGUUGGUGAAACCGGUUUACAUGGAUCAAAACCUGCAGGCACACCUAUGGAACAAAACCAUAAACUCGCAUCUGAUGAUGGUCCUCUGUUCUCGGAUCCCGGUCAGUAUCGACGUCUGAUAGGCCGACUAGUCUACCUCGCUAUCUCUCGUCCAGAGUUGUCAUACUCCAUUCAUCUCUUGUCUCAGUUCAUGCAGACACCUCGCCAAGCUCACUGGGAUGCUGCCUUGCGAGUCGUUCGUUAUCUAAAGGGGUCACCUGGUCAGGGGAUUCUUUUGCGUGCAGAUACCAAUCUAGAGUUGUCUAUAUACUGUGACGCAGAUUGGCAAUCAUGUCCUCUCACUCGUCGCUCUCUCAGCUCGUUUGUAGUGAUGAUGGGAGGGUCUCCCAUUGCUUGGAAAACAAAGAAACAAGAUACUGUGUCUCACUCCUCAGCUGAAGCGGAAUAUAGGGCGAUGGCAUGUGCGGUUAAAGAAAUGAAGUGGAUCGUACCUCUUGUCAAAGAUCUUGGAGUUAUAGCUUCUACACCUGUCUCUUUUUAUUGUGAUAGCCAAGCGGCUAUCCACAUUGCUUCAAAUCCGGUUUUUCAUGAAAGAACAAAACAUAUUGAGAGGGAUUGUCACUGUGUUCGUGAUGCUGCUCGUGCUGGUCUAAUCUCAAUGCGUCAUGUUCGUACAAAGGAUCAACUGGCGGACAUUCUUACAAAGGCCCUCGGUCGACCUCAGUUUGAUUUUUUGCUGUCCAAGUUGGGAGUUCAAGAUCUUCACUCUCCAACUUGAGGGGGAGUAUUAGGGAAUAGAAUAUUCCCAUUCUUGAGAUUAGGAUAACUUCCAUUAUAUUGAGAUAAUUCCAAUUCCGUUAAGGAAUAUCUUGUCUUUGGAGUUGUAUAUAUACGAUGUAUUGUCAAACUUGUUCAAUAAGAAAGUCUAUUCAGAAUAUCGUUUCCUAUCUUUACAGUUUUGAUGACGAUGGCGGGGACGGGUGGGAUGUAUCAGUUAUUUUACGUAGGUGUAUACGAGGUGGUGGAUGAUCCAUCACUGGAUUCAAUAAUCUCAUGGAGCAAAAGCAACAAGAGUUUUGUCAUAUGGAAUCCUAAAGAGCUAGUGGAAAAGAUUCUUUCGAGAUUCUGUCACGACAAGUUACGUUGUCACAGUUUAUCACCGAACUUGAAAUCUAUGUAAGUACGUAAUUUCUUGUAUAUGUACAAGAUUAUCACCUAGUUUUUUGAAUUUUUGCGGUUUUAAAAUCUGAGUUUCUUGCUGGUACGUAGGGGUUUGUGAGAAUUAAGGGGUCUGAGCACUUGGAAUUCGGACAUGAGCAAUACUUUGUGAGAGGUAAACCUGAUCUUUUGACGAAGAUGCGUUACCAAGCUGCCUCGGAUAGGAUGAAGAAAAGUCUCAAGGAAGCAAAAGCUAGAGCAGAAGCAGAGAAGAACGGCUGUGUGGGAGAUCAAUCUCCUAUUAGUAGGAUGAUGAAUGCCAGAGAUGCACGUAUUAGGUUCAACAAAAUUAUGAGAUCAUUUAAAGCUAAAACGCCACUGGAGAAUAGCUUCCUACAUCUACGAAUUUGAUCACUAGUAGCACUUGUCAUGGGUUUGUUCUUCUUGUUUCAGUUGCUGUUUUUUUUUCCUAUAAAACGAUGCAUGUCUUUGCUUUCUUUGAUCUAUUGCCCCUAUUCUGUAUCAAACCUUGUCAGCCACUUUGUGUAAUAUUUUAAAAUGGUAGCUAAUUCCUCCUUAUGAGUUGCGAUGAAUGUCCCUAUUAUGUAUCAAACCUUGUAUGUGUUCAAAAAAAAAAAAAGCUUCCUCCAUAAGUUGCGAUGAAUGUCGUCCUCACAAAUAGUAUCUUCGCAAUUGUGUGUGUUUUCUAUCUUCUUGAUCCAUUGUGAUCCAGGUCUUACACCUGAGAAACCAACUAACUUGUGAUGAAUGCUUUCUGGUCACCUGAUAAACAACCAAAUUCUGAAGCUCUCCCUAUAGUCUGCAUUCCUCUCUAUCUUUUGUGAAGAUCUUUUUUGAAACGAUCCUAAAUGCAAGCUAGAGAUCAUGUCUCCAACAAAUUAUUGAUAUUACUUUCUGGUUCGCUCCUAGCAGAUUCAAAUCCAACACGUUGCCACUUUCUCUUUUACAAUACAUAAUUAAAACUACAUCUUUUAAAACUUGUUAUGAAUGUUUCCCACUUUUUUGCUGUUGAUAUGAACUAUUGUUACUUGCAUCACAGACCACUACGUUUCCUUCCUUCAAGAUUUGCAAAACUCACUAAUAAUUUUCAAGAUUUGCCAAACUCACCAAUAAUUUUCACACACAAGGAUAUAUCUAUAGCAUACGGAUUUGGACAGCCCGUUUGGUUAAUUGGACAUGAUUCCCACGAUGGAAAAUCAUUUGACCAGCCAUGCUAUAUUCAGACAGCUGUUCAAAGCAAAUGUAAUCAAUGUGAGUUGAUUGGUUAGAACGUACAUGCGUACUGGAGCUCCAUAAAUAAAGUAAGAUUGGCUUGGAGUGCUUGAAUCAUUAGUGGAUGUUUAAAGAGCAGACUUAAUUAUCAUGUUAUCCCAGCCCUUCAAUUAUCAUGUUAUCAUGUUUCCACCUUCAUCUCCCAGGAAACAAAAUCGUGCAAGGGAUGCUUAAAUUACAUAAAUAACUCAGAACAGAACUUCUUCUGAUAUGAUUCAUUUGAAUGACAAAAGGUGUGAACAUCUCCGAUGUAAUGUGAUAAGAACAUGAGAUCCUCUUCUUGGAUUAUUAAGUUUUUAUCCGUUUUCUGUGUGUGGUGUAUAUAUUGUAGGAAGGAAGUUAGACCGGAGAGAAAUCACUUAAAUCAAAUUAGACAUUGAAAUAACACAUAUUCGUUAAGGGCCGCGGUUGCGGUUGCGAGUACGGGAGUUUGUGGAUGCGAACGGUUUUAAGAGAUUUGUACGACUGGUACUGCGGUUAAAAAUUGGUGUGUUUGCGGGUGACUUAUAACUGGUUAACUACCAAAUGCGGUAACAGUCAAAUAAUAAAUUAACAAUAUUUACAUUUAAUAUAAUUAUAAGAAUAUCAAAAAUCAUAAAACUAUGAUAAAUAUAAAAUUUAUAUUUAGAAAGUUAUAAUUUUAAUAUUUGAAAAUUUAUUGAAAUUUUUAUUAUUAUAAAAUUUUAUAAUAUUAAUUAAAAUAUAAUAGAUAUAUUUUAAUAUUUUCAUAAUUUCAAUUUUAAAUUUUUUAUUAAAUAUUUUUACUUUUGUAUAUAUAUUGUUUAAAAAAAAAUUUUACUUUCCCGUAACCGCAAACGCUAGUUGAAGCCAGCUUUUGAAUUUAUAAGAUUCGGAACGGUUUGAAGCGGUUUAGAGCGAUUUGAGUGAUUGUUGUAAACUGCCGAUAACCGCUACCAACCGCAACAGCUGCAUUUGCGGGUGGUAGCGGGAAAACCAGUCGCCCCCUAACUAGACUGAAUAUAUAAAAGGAGUAGCAUAAUUACUUGACACAUACAUCAUUAGGUGUCAAAAUCCACUUAAUAAACUAAUUGAUCCAGCAAUAACAUUAGAAACCACAGGUGCGUAAGCAUAUCCAACAUGAUAAGGUAACAUUGGAGGGUCAGCUGACCCUAUAAUUUUUUACAAAUUAUUUUUGUUCAUGAAAGUUAAGUAAUUGUGGGAUAAUUUGGUUAAAGUUCUAUAUAAGUUGACCCCCUUGUCUCGAGGUCAAACAUUUCCCUUGACACCUUUGUUAUUUUUAUUUUGUUUCUGCCUUUUAAAAUAAUAUUUUAAUGUUUAUUUACCUCAUUUUUCCCUAUCAUUUCUUAACUCUUUUAAUCCUUUUGAUUAUUUUUCUCUUCUUUACUAUAAUAUAUAUUUAGAUAAAUAAAUAUUUUGAAGAAUCAAAACUAAUAUAAUCCUAUUCAUUCACUAAUAUUAAAAAGAAAUGUAAGCAUAUGUUGAUAUAAUAUAAAAAUAUUCAUAUAUUUAUUCACAACAUAUAAGUUUUAGUUAAAAUUAUAAUUUGUGGGGUUUAUAACAAACUGAUAUUAUUUUUAGUUAUAAUAUUCAUAUUAAUAAUUUUUAUAAGAUAAAUAAUUUAAUAUUAUUAUAAUUAUAUUAAUAAAACGACCCUUAUGAAUAACAAUCUUGGCUCUGCCACUGUAAGGUAAGCUAGUUAGAAGCUUCAUCAUCUUCAGCUAGAUGUCUUGCAAGUUGCAAUCAUAACCUUCCAUCAUGACCUGGUCAAAGAGAGACUCGCAUUUUUCCAGAUGAGACCUGAAGAUAGCAAACUUGGGCACAACAUCACCAUCUGGUGCAGUAACAGGAGGGAAGAAAGCAUUAGAAAAGUACUGGAGGGUAUGUUUCUUGAAAUGGUCCAUGAAGAGCUUGGCAUUUGACCUUAGUGUAUCAUUGGUCAUAUCUUUAGAUAUUCUAACCAACAUAGGUGGAUUCACUUUAUUAUUUAUCACCACCCUAUUUUUAAACAAAGCCCUCUCAAGACUGUCAAUGCACUUGCCAAUGCAAGUUAUGGAAGCUAUGAGCUCAUCUUUGGAGGUGGUCUACAGUAAAGAUAAGAAACAGACAAAAAGGAAACAACUUUCUCUCAGACACCUCUAAAUCAAGGAAAAAUAUAAGCGAUCCAAGUACAAACAAUAUAAGCGAUUCAAAAAAAGGCCACACGCAAAAACAUUGCUAAGAAGCACCAACGUUUCUUACAAACUUACUGUUUUCUUGUUGAAUUCUUCCAUUUCCUGGACUUUUGUCCUUAUCCGGAAUCCUAACUGCACGUUGGCCUCUCGCAAAGCUGACAACUGGCCGUCGAAAUGAUUGGAAGCAGAUGAAGAGUUGACGGACUCCGACAUUCUUAAAAAUUUUCUUUUACUUGGUGUAAACGCAAAAACUUUCUUGUAAGCUUUCUCUAUUUAUAAUAUGUAUUAUGAUAAAAUUAAAUCUAUGUUAAUUUACUCUCAAUGGAUUUUUUGUUUUUAUAAUCUAAUGUUAUUUAGUGACUGAUUUUAAUUUUUGUUAUCAAAUCUAGAGUUAUUGGUUAUUGUAUUUAAAAUAUCUAUAUUAAAUGAUUUCAAAAUCUUAUAUUAUUUGUUCUUGUAUUCAUAAUCUUUUCAGUAAGGAGAUUUUAAAUUUAUUGUUAUUCAAUUAAAGAAUUGAAUAUAACAUUUAAAAUCUUGUGUUCUUCAUGUUUGAUAGAUAUUCAUAAUUCAUUUGACUUGAAAGAUUAUGAAUUAAUUUGGAUUUACUUUUAUGUGUAAAAUCUUUGAAUCAAAAUUUUCCAUUUUUACCUUCAGAUUUUAUAAAACCAAACUCAUCUAACAGGAAAUCUAAGUCAAGCUAGCCAAUAGACAAAAUAAAAAAAACCAAAAAAGGAGGAACGUCAUCUCCUAAUAAAUCCCAACAUGAAACUAGUCCUAUUUUCUAACAUGUUGAACUAAAAGCAUUCAGACAGUUAGAAAUAUUUUGGAACUGAAAUGGAAGAUUUUUUGAAAAAUACUUAUUAAUUAUUCAAUGUUUGGUAGGCUUGUUCGCUUGAAGAUGCUAACCUAAAACAUAUGAGUUGAAUCUAUAGUAUGGACCACUUAAAAUCAACCUAAGUAACCAGUUAAACAAUUCGUGAAAUUAAAAAUAUAAGAAAGACAGAACACAAUACUCAUCUUUGUGAAGAAACUCACUGUUUCAAGCUGUUUUUAUCGUGUAGACAAUCAAAAGGAAGAACUCCCCAUUUUCCAUGGGAUUGGACUCGUUUUAUAGUUAGCUCAUUGUUUAUCACUUCUGACACGUCCAAAUUUGACAAGUGUGUGGUAUUCACAGGAAAUAUAUCAGGCUUAAUAUUUUAAGGCCAAUUAGUAAGAACCAAAUCUGGAAUCGAUUCAAACCGAAAUGGAAAAUAUGGUCUAGUUUUGGUUAACUAUAUAAACCAAACCACAAAAUUGGAUGACAGAUUGAUAAGUAAAAACCUUACGGUCGUUUCUGGUAUAAUACAAAAGUUAAGGGACUUUCCUGAUAUUUUCAUCUGAAUGUCGAUCCCUAACAAGGUUUAAAGCAAAGUAACCCAGAUUUGACGAUGAAACCCUUAAGAAUCUCGUCGAAAAUGGUGAAUUCAAGCUCGCGAUAAACCCUCCUUUCGUGUAACGUCUCUUGUUCUGAGAAAGUAAGAAUCUUUUUCUUCGUAUCGAUGCGUCGAUGCUUGUUCACAGCUCUGUAUCUGGUGAUGAUUCAUCUCCCUUGUAGCUGUUCAAUGUGGCAAUGUUAAUGCUCAGAACUCUCAAAAAGGUUUAUAAAUCGUUGAAUAUGAUUACCCAUUUCACCAAUUGCAUAUCUUUCCCCUCCUCUCUUCCUCCUCAUCAGAGCCGAGCUCCUCAAAGGUUCGACCUUUCUCGCGUUUCGUUCACAGUUCGGCGUUUCCAGAUUCAGAGCUCUGUCCGUAGUGAUAAGUCGCAGAUACCCACUCGGUUUUUCGUUAGUCCGGUUUCGAGGGGAACUAGGAACCAGGCUCAAGGAGCUCUCUUUGAUUACUUGCAUAGCACUAGAAGCUUUACUUUCACUGAUGCUGAGCAUAUAAGCAAGAACUCGCCGCGUUUUCUGAGCUUUUUGCUCUCCAAGAUCGAUGAUAACGAGAGAGAUGUCUCCAGGGCGUUGAGUAAGUACCUUAGGUACAAUCCCAUUAACGAGUUUGAACCGUUUUUCGAGAGUUUGGGGAUGUGCCCAUCUGAGUUUGAGCAGUUUCUUCCUCAAAGGCUAAUGUUUUUGAGUGAUGAUGGUGUCAUGUUUGAGAAUUUUCAUGCUCUUUGCAACUAUGGGGUCCCUCGUGGGAAGCUUGGCCGUGUGUAUAAAGAAGCUAGAGAGGUUUUUAGAUAUGAGUCUGGGGUGUUGGUGGCUAAACUCAGGGGGUAUGAGGAUUUGGGUCUUAGAAAAGGUACAGUUAUCAAGUUGGUUAGUAGCUGUCCUUUGCUGCUUGUUGGUGGGGUUGAUGGUGAGUUUGCUUCCGUGGUUGAUAAGUUGAAGAGGUUACCGGUGGGAUGUGAUUGGCUCGGGAGAGAUUUGUCUGACAGUAAAACGUAUAGCUGGGGGAGGAUUCUGGAGACGAUGGAGUUUCUUGAGAGAAUGGGAUGUAAAGAGGAGAAGCUGAGUAGUCUCUUGAGAACUUAUCCUGCUUUGGUGAUUGAAGGCUCUGGUAAGAAGUUCUGUGUUCUCUUUGGUAGGUUGUUUAAGGUAGGGCUUCAAGUGGAUGAGAUCUAUAGUCUGUUUAUAGACAACCCUGAGAUGUUAUCAGACAAAUGCGUUAAGAACAUUCGGAAGACGCUUGAUUUCUUGAUCGGUAUUAGAAUGGAAACGCAUUUUAUCAGAAAGAUUCUGCUGAGUCACACGGAGCUUAUCGGUUCAUGCUCUCUGCAAGCGCCUAGAACUGUUUGUGUUAGCUUGAACGUUAGCCAGGACGAGCUUUGUCAGAUGUUGAAGAACGAGCCUCUGAGAUUGUUCAGCUUUGUGACUACAACAAAGAAGAGAAAAAGCAAACUUCUUUCGGAGGAUGCGAGGAAACACGCGGAGAAGACUGCGUUUUUGAUGAGGCUAGGGUAUUUAGAGAACUCGGACGAGAUGGUGAAGGCUCUGAAACAGUUUAGAGGGAGGGGAGAUCAGCUUCAGGAGAGGUUUGAUUGCCUCGUGAAAGCGGGGUUAAACCACAAUACGGUUGCGGAGAUCAUCAGGCACGCUCCGAUUGUGCUGAACCUCUCUAAAGAUGUCAUUGAGAAGAAGAUACAUUCUUUAACCGAGCUUCUUGGCUAUCCGAUUGAGUCUCUGGUGAGUUUCCCGGCGUAUCUGUGCUAUGAUAUGCAGAGAAUACAUCAGAGAUUCUCAAUGUAUAUGUGGUUGAGGGAAAGAGAUGCAGCAAGGCCGAUGCUAUCACCGAGUACUAUUCUCACUUGCGGUGAUGCCAGGUUUGUCAAGUAUUUUGUCAAUGUCCACCCUGAAGGUCCAGCCGUUUGGGAAAGUAUAAACCAAUCAUCUACCUGAAGUGAGAGGUUACUGGCACGGCUUCUUGAUUUUAGAGAUAGUGAGGAUGUGGUAAAAAUGCGAGCUCUGUGAUAUAAAUGCCAACUAAGGAAACAAAAGGGUAUCUUCCAUGUGCCAAACGUUAAGCCCUUAUUUAUGCUUGAAUUCACUGGAAGAGUUCUUUAGACAGUAGUGCAGUGCAGAUGAUCAGCAAAUUGUUUGUUGAGGAUCUUCCUCUUGAACCGUCUCUUUGAUAGUUGUCCUCUAAACUGAUUGUUGGUCCAGAGUGUGUUACAAGAAUGUGUUAUACUAAUUACUUGGACGGCUGGAGCCAGCAGGCAUGACAUAAGCCACGUUUGGUGUUUUGUAUUGUUUUAUAAUUGGAUGUUCUGUAGCAAUGCAAAGUGAUCUAAACUUUCAAACAGCUUGUAAGCUUUUAUUAUAAAAAUGCACGUGUACUCCAAUUGCUCUUUUCCACCUUAGUUUCAAUUAAUAAAUUGUUUGGACUAGUGUACAUACAAAAUUUUCAAGAGCAUCAAAGGAAAAAUCCUAGUUUAGUGCAUCUUGAUUCUCUAUGGGAACUACUGCAGACACUUUCCUCCUAGGCUUAAGCUUCUCUAUACCAACAUUGACUUGGGAGCAGUUGGUGGUCACAGUGCUGUUAUCUGAUGAUGAUGUUCCUGCAACAGCUUUGCGUUUUCGUCUUUGUUUCUUCUCCUUUCCAUCUCCUGAGCAUCUCUCUAAUCCUUUUCUCCUCCUCUUUGGUUGUCUCUCUGUAUCAUCACAAACUGCUUCACUCUCGCAUUCUGCAUCUGCCUUCUUCUGUCUGCAUCCACACACACACACAAAAAGGGGUCAAUUUAGUUCCACAAAGGCAUUGUGUGAGCAUCAGUAGCUAAGGAAUAUUAAUCAAACAAACCUUGCUUUGCGUUUCUUCUUCAGUGCGGGUUCUGGCUCGAAAGAUCUCUCAGCUAGUGCCAAAAAAUCGCUUGCAACAAGAAGAGGACGCUCUGAUUCCCGAUCAACAAAGUUACCUAUGGUAGCUUCUCUUCUUAACCUCAAAGCUUCUUUCUUAAGAAGCUUUAGGUGAGGGUUUAAGGUCUCCCAUCUCCUUGAGCACUGCUUGCUAGUACGAGAAUAAACAUGUGAAGCGACUUUGGACCAGUUACUAUCACCAUGUUCUUUAACUGCUUCAUUGUACUUUGUAACCUCUUCCUCGGUCCAGCUCCCAAAGUUUAGUCUGGGAUCUAAAGAAUCUUUCCAUCUCGCUCGACACUGAGACUGUGUCCUUCCAGGAACAAACUGAGCAAUUUUAUUGUAAUUUUUAGCUCCAAAGAAUGUCAAAGCUACUCUCAGACGUUUGUCUUCCUCUGAGCUCCACUUGGCCUCCUUUGAAUUUGAUUUCCCUACCCUCUUCCUGCUUGGGACAAGCGACUUAUUCCAUCUGAAAGUAUAGAGAAAAUAAGUGAAUAAGAGACUACUUAAAUAAGCAUAUUAAUGUUAUGUUAUAAACUAUAAUCCCACAUCGUCUAAAGAUGGACUCGAUGGGUGGUUUAUAAAACUAUUACUCUUCUCAUCUAAAAAUUUUUGAGUAUACUGUUAGAUCACUGACCUGUUAGAGCACUGAGUGCCAGUUCUUCCUUCUAUUUCAUUAGCAACAGAUUGCCAGUCUUUCUCGCCAAACAAGCCUACUGCGUUACGGAGUUGGUCAUCUUCUUCUGGAGUCCACUCUCUUCUCAGUAUGUCUGUAUUCAAGCUUCUCUGAUAUCGAGCCAAACAUUGAAACGGGGUCCUAUUUGUGCCUAGUGAUACCGCAACGUCAAGCCAAUCGGUAACACUCUUGUUUUGGGUUACUAAGCGUAUGUAAUCGUCCUCUGCUGCAGUCCACGGACCUUGGUUGAUCAAUGGAUCUUCCGAGCUCAUCCACCUACAAUGAGGUAGAUCACAGAUUAAGAAAACACACACUUGAUUCAUCUUAGUAAACCAUAGUUCAACUAGAGGAGGAACUUACCGGGCUUCACAUUCUGCAGCAGAACGGUUCUUGAUAUCCAACUGAUCCCAAUUAACUUUCAGAAGAAACUGCCUAAUCAUUUCUGGUGUGAUCUCAAGAUUACUCACUGAUUCAAGAAUGGUGUCUAUAUCAUCUGAACACCCUUCCAAGUCACUGCUAAGAAGAAAACAAAAUCUGUUAUAGAGAUCUUAAGAAGCAAGUUUUAGAAAGAAGGAAGAGAAAGCAGUACCUGGACCGUUCAGUAGCUUCAUGAAUCAGUGCUUCUUGAAGCUGUUGUUUGAGACCUUUUGCAAGAUCUUCGUUCUCCUUAGCAGACCAAUUUCUGCGACACACUGAAACUGGAUACUCCUCUAGUGCCAUCCUAUAACUUGCAACACAAGGAUUUUCUAAUGGACCCAACGUCUCUUUAUCAUUACCCUACACAGAAACAUUUAUCCAUCAGUGUCAACAAUAAACAGCAGAGGCAUGAGAAUUAGAUCAAACAUUUUUCCAUCACUUACCUCAGAGCUAUCAUGAGUUUUAAGCUUUCGUGUUGAGAUUAACUCAAAACGUGGAUCUUUACCCUGAGAAAACGCCUGCUGCUUCAUCCUUCUCUUGCAAGAAACCGCGAAACCAUCAAUAAUCUUAACGUCUUUCUGAAGCUUCUCGUUCUUCUCAAUCGUCGCUUCGAUUUCUCCCAGUUUUGUUCGAAGAAACUUCUGAUACGACCUGUUCUUCCUGAUCGCGUCCACAAACGCUUGGAAUGUACUUGAGCUCGCAGAAGCAAGGGCAAGAGGAGGCUCAGUGGAAGUGCUGACAGCUUCUACAUCCUCUGAAAAGCUUUCACAAGUGUUAGACCUACUCAAUAUUUCGCUUGAAGGUUCAUUACACGAGGCAUGUACCUGCUUGCGAGAAGACUCAUUCAUCAAAGUUCCUUCCACACCUGCACCACGUCAAACAAACAUACAUUAUAUCAUAGAGUAAAACAGAGAGCAAACUAAACAAAGUCACAAUUGAGCUGACCUGAGUUUUCAUAAGAAGAGAAUCGUUUACAAAUAGCGACAAGGGUUUCAUCAUCUUCGUCUUCUUGGUCCAUGGGAAGUGCCAAUUGUCUCUUAAGACUCCGAAGCAUCUCAAAAUCGUCUUCAUUGUCUGAAUCAGAAGGCAGGGAUGAUAAACCCAUCGGAUGAUCCGGCGACGAAGCUAAUUGAGUUUUGAUUCUUCGAAGCAUAUCAAAGUCGUCUUCGUUUUCAGAAUCAGACGGUAACCCUCUGCCAGAAUUGGAAUCGGAGACGAUACAUGCGCGUCUUAACUCUUCAAGAUCUUCACCGAUAUCGUCGUCAUCGUCAGAGUCGCACAUGCUUUCGCGAUCCAUCGCGUUAAAUAAACCAAAAGAACAAAGUCUACAGGCAGGAAUGAGUCGAUCGAAUUUGAAAUUCGAAGGGAGAGUGCACAAGAGAAAGGUUUAUGGCAACCUUGUGGGAGAAGAAGGAGAACAGAGCAGAAAAUUGAAUUAGGGUUUUAUAUGGCGGUAACAAAAAAAAAAAACGAGUCGGGUCGGGUCGGAUAUUUAAGACUUUUCUAAUGGGCAUUAGGCCCAUACAUUCGUAUCAUAAUAUAUUCCAAACACUACAAUUUUCUGACCAAAAAGCAAGCAUAUAAGGUAUUAGGAAUGAGUAUUUACAAAGACACUUAUAUGAGCUAAUUGGUAUCAGAUAGUCGUAUUUCCAAGAUUAGUAAUUAUGGGUUUUAUACUCUUACUGAUACGAGUGAAGAAAAGCCUCUAAAUAAAGAAAGACAAUAGAUGAUAAUAUGCUUUUCAUUAAACUAAUUAUAUAAUUAAUUAUUAAUAUAAAAAUAUUUUUUCAUUAUUUCCUUAAAUCGAACAUACAGAAUUACCUAAUCUAAUCAAAAUAUAUAUGAUAAUUAAUUAUUCUAAAUAAUAAAGAUUUGACAAUAAUUUAUACAUCCUCUAUCAUUUUGUUAUAUUAUUAUUAUUUAAAUAAGUUAAUCAAUUAAUGAAAAAAUCGAUUUGUCUAUAUAUGUUAUAUUUAAAUUUUUUAAAACAAAUAUAAAUUAAUAAAUUUUAAAAAAAUCUCACUUUGAAAAUUUGUGAUCAAUGGUUUAAUUUUUAUUUAUAUAAGAAGAUAGAAAAUUUGUGAUCAAUGGUUUUCUUUUUUUUUUUUUUUUUUUUUAAAAAAAAAAAAAGUGAUCAAUGGUUUUCGAUUAUGCCAUAUGUGGUCGUUCUGUAUGAUUUCAGGUUCUCUGUUCCACUUAUCUUAUCCCUUCCAUCUACUGUCAUUUUUCACCAUUUCAGCUAUGUUUUGUAUUUUUUAAUGAUCUGGUACUCGGUUCUAAGGCACCAAACCAACUCUUAGUGUGUAGCUCGCACAAGCUCUAAGCUUUGUGGAUCAAAGGGUACAGUUUGAGCUCGCAUUAGUUAAUCUUUGCAACGUACUUCCUGGACUCCUUUCUCACAAAAACUUUGAUGUUGGAAAGUACACAUUUGUAUUUGAGGUAUUGCUCUUGUUAGUAUAUAUUACACACCAACUUCAUAUGUAAGCUUGCCUAUAUAGCCGCCACAUGAGCUAUUACCAUUGAGAAUGCAGAAAAUUGCUGUACUUGACAGUGACGUUGGGAGCGUUGAAUCUCAGAAAAGGGUAUUUCACCUGCUCGUCCUCCUCUACACCUUACUCAAGAUAUUGGGCCAAAAUCUGAGAUAUCACAACAUCUUCAGGGUCCCAGAAAAAGCUUCCAGCCAAGCAGCUAUAUCACUAGUUUUCUUGCGUCUUCUACUUCUUCCAUUUAUAGCCUUCUUGAUUGGGGGUCACAACUUCUAAGUGACUGAAGCUUUUGGGUUCAGAUCUUCAGAGCAUUCUAAUAUACAUUUCAAUAAUCAAUUCCAUUUAAUACAAACCAUGCCCUAAAAACAAAAAUGGAAUCUCAAAUAUUUUACUAUAAAACAGCUAAACCAACAACUUCUUCAAGAAGUUUCAUUAUGGCACAAGAUCAUGUUUGGUUCUCUAAGGAACCUCUAAGAGAAGAAUCUGGUGAUGAAACAGAGAGACAAGACCGUGCAAUCUUGGCCUGUUUGUCUUUGUUAUACGCCUUUUUAACAUCGUUCUUCAGCUCCUUAUAUCUCAUCCUCUUCCAUCUCCUCUCUUUCACCGAGCCUCUCUCCGGAUGCGACAUAUCAGGUAUGUCCUCGUCCAUAUAAUCGUCCAUGUACUUGUCCAGAACCUCUGAACAAGAUGGAAAAUACCUCCGACCAGUCUCAACUGCGAAAUGAACAGAUUUGAGUCAGUCUUGAGCUCAAUUCACUAUAAACUCUUUAAGCUUUUACCUGUUUUCAUGAGUGCUUCCAUACGAGUAAGCAGUCUUUUAGUCUGCAUAUAAGGCGUUUCAUUCAAAUCAACCUGAGUCAAGUUCCCCGUUGCGCCAUUCGAAGGCGGUGGAACAGGAAAGCCUGUGAACUCACUAGUCCCUUCAACAUUAGCAAUGUCCAUAGCUACAUCAGCUUCUGUUGGAAAGAACAACUGAGCAAGCCCCACUGCAAACAACCAACACAUACAGUAAGAGUCAUCAACCUUAAGCUUCACUACUUAAACAUACAUCGUGUCAAGUCACUACCUCGCUUUUCUAAGUAGAGCAGCCUCAUUUGAAGAUCCUCAGGCAUAGAAUGAGAACAAGUAGGUGCAUCCCCACCUCCACUAGCCAAUGGAUUCCUUCUAAUCUCCCUCUCCAAGAUAUCAAUACACAACCGAUCUUUACUAGCUUCAUCCCCCUUUGCAUUUUUGGUAUAAUAAUCCUUAGGCCUAGUCAUUCUCCUACAUAUAUUAACCGCACUCCGUCCAUCAAAGGUGAAGUCAGAAGCAUUAGCUCCUUUCUUAAGAAGCGAUAUGAUAAUCGACGGCUCUCUACGCAUAGCAGCGUAGUGAAGAACCGUGUACCCUCUCGAGUUUCUGUAAUUCACAUCAGCCAUGUCUAAAGCCAAAACCUCAGCCACAACUUUCGGAUCACUGUAGGCCACUACGUAGUGCAGACCAUUGGCUUGGUCUAGAGUUGUGUCUGACUCGGUUAAAAGAAGCUUCACUAGCUCAACAUCAUCUGAAUCCAACGCCUUGAGUACUUUCCCCGUUCUCUCUAUCAAUUUAUCAGCCACCUCGUCUGUGUUCAUUGACUUGACUCGAAGCUUCUUGAUUUUCUCAGAGACUUCAAGAGGAAGCUCCUUCUCUAUGUAGAAUCUGUCUAGAUCAGAUCUAGCUACUCUCUCUAUGCACUGAUCAAGAAGCUGAGUUAAGUCACAAUGAAACGCAACUAAGAGGAUUGCGAGAACAUUCUCCACUAGCGACUUCUCAACGUAGUUACAAAGCCUCCUCUACAGACACACACAUUAACACAUUAAUAAAACAAACAUUAACACAUCUAAAACGAAUCAAGAACAUUAAUCUCAGACCUGAAACGAUGAAACCAGCUCAGUGAUUUUGAACGUAUACGAAGCAUACAUCAACUCAACAGCGAAAUCAAUGGCGGGUUUACAAGAGUCAUGAACGCAGCCGGUAUCAACGCAAGUGGAAACCUCUACAGGGAAAGGCUUCAGCUUCCCAGUGUAGAUGUAAUUCAAGAAAUGCAAGAACGCCUCCCUCCCCACGUGUCCAUUAGGCAACAGAUCUUUGAUAUGAUACUUUGGUUUCUUCUUCUCCUCCUCGCUUCCUCUAUCUUUCUUGAACAGGUCCAAGAAAAACUUGCUCCUGGCAGCUAAAAGGCAUCUGUGAACGCCCACAGCGCGAGAUUCUCCUUCGAAUGUGAUGUCUGCGUCAGUGUAGUCGCAGUCUGAGCUGGUGAGGAGAUUCUCCAAGUCGGUGCUGAGCUUGGCUAGACUCGCGGCUUCGAGAUUGGGAGAUGAUGAUUGGUGAUUGGUGACAACAGAAGGGUUGGACAAGUGGGAAGAUGUGAAGCUUAUAGAUGAAGAUGGCUCCAUUGCAGUUGCAGCCGCCAUCAAAAGGCUUUGUCUUUGCUUAGAGAAUCAUGUGUUCUUGAGCUGUGAACAAGAUCACUAAUCAACCCAUGAAGAAAAGAUCAAAACUUUAUGAAAGAAAAGAACAAUACCUUAAGAGGAAGUCAACGACGAUGGCUGAUGAUGGAGGAAGAACCCUAAUUGAAUCUUCAACAAAUGAGAAAAUGAAUUGAAAGAAAAUAAAAAUUCACAGAUCGGAUGUUGUUUUGAACAAGUGAAUAUAGUCGAUGAAGAUCUAUGGAUGAAGAGAGAUCUGAGGACGAAUAAGAGAAGAGUCAGAGGUGUUAUCUCUAUCUAACGGUGGAGAAUUAACAAGAAGACUGGUCUUUUCUUUGUUAAGAACGAAACAAAACUCAACGACUCGAGUUUACAUUGUUUUGCAAAAAUAAUGCAAAGAGCCAAAAGAGAGACAGAACAUUAAAGUCUUUUGGGAAAAUUGUUUUUUUAGAGCAAAAAAAUGUAAACAUUGUCCUAAUAGAAUAAUCCCAACCUAUAAUUGUCUCAUUAAGCUAAUAAUUUUGAAAAUCCCAGUUUAGUCCUUCGAAAUACAAUUUUAAAACUAACUGUAUUAAUACAUUAAAUUAAUAUAUAAUAUACAGAACCAAUUAAAAAAAAAAAUUUUAAAAAAAUUCCCAAAUCAAAACCCCUAACCCUAAUUAUUUCAGUCUCGUUCUCUAGGCCUCUCUAAUUCUGGUGGGGACAAAGUCAACAGGUCUCUAUUGGUGGGGAGACAAAGAUACCGACUCAAAUCUCGUCUUCUCCGGCGUAAAUCUCUUCUUCUCCGGCUUAAUAUCUUCUUCUCCGGCUUAAUCUUAUUCUCUCAUGUAAAACGAAGGUAACAUCGACACUUCUCAUUCCUAUUUUGUUUUAAAUCUUCUUUGCAUGUUCUUUAAGCGAUAAUAGUUCUGUGAAAAGCAAAUAGAUUAGUGCUUCUGUAUAUUUUUUUGUGUUCUUAUCAAUCGAUUUAAGAACACACCAGUCUGUUAUAUGUGUUUGUGUGUUCUGUUGUUAUCAAUUUGUGAUUACCAUAAGAACCUACAGUUAAUCUAUGUUACAUGUGUAUGUAAUCUUAACAAUUUGCUUUACCAUACGGGUUUGUCAAUCGAUAUUUUGAAGAGAUUGGUUAGUUUUGAUUUUGUGUCAUUGUUGUUGAUGUUGGUAUCGCCAGCGCAGACACUAGAAGAUAUGUAAUUUGGCACUAAUCCUGGUACUAUCGGGUUAAUGGGUCAGUUCACCAAACCGUUGGAUCAUCUGAGUUUGUACUUAUGAAGAUAAGGAAGGAGAUAUGAUGCUCGUUGGUGAUGUUCCAUGGAGGUAAAAGAACUAAAAACCAUCUCUUAAUGUCUGAUGAAUGAUUUACAAUGAUCUAAUCUGGGUUUUGUAUAUAUCUUAGAAUGCUCAUCACCUCGGUGAAAAGGCUUCGUGUGAUGAAAACGUCUGAAGCUAAUAGUCUCGGUACGUAGACUAUCUUGUCUUGACUUAUGACAUUGUUUGUUGAAACAUAUAAUGAAAAACUUGAACUAAAACAUCUUAGUAUAUAAUAUGCAGGAUACUUGUGAAGCAAGUAAAAGGAAGAAACAGAAGCUAGGUUGAUCUUAUUCAGUUUGUGAUGUUUCUUUGGUUCUUCUAAUGUUCUUUAAGGGUUUUUUUUUGGCUUGAUGUCUUUUGUUUUACUGUUGCUAUUACUAUGGAAGAGAAUGCUCUUUAUUUGUUUUACUACACUGUAAAUAUUUGAAGCUUGUCUAAUAUCAUUUUGUGGGUUUAGUUUAUGAGUUCACUAACUGAUCCAAGAAACAGAUCCACAUGACAUCAAAUGUGUUAACAUAUUUACUUUAGUGCUUGACGUUUCAAUCUCAUGGGAUUCUGAGGACAUUCAAAAUUAAUGAUAUAGGCCCCGAACACUAAAUCAUAUUAUACAUAUAUCAUCCUCAGCACGAAGAAGAAUCUGAUGGAAGAUUCAUACAAACAGACAAGAGUUAGGUAGAUAGAUUGUACCAACCAUAUGAAAAAGCUCCUAACUUUGUGAAAAAUUAAAGGAAAAUUUAGGUAUUUUGAGAAGAAAGGCCAAUAAGUGUUUUUUUUUUCAAAAAGAAAGGCUAGUAAGUGAUCUUUUAUUAACAAAUUUGAUUUUUCAAAAAUGGUAACAUAAUAUUUCCACAUAUUUUUGUUUUUUUUUUGUUUAAAAAAACCGGUUUUCAAAAUAGGAAACUGAAUAUUUCCAAAUAUUUUUUUUCCUUAUUUUUCGAAACAGAUUAUUCUUAUCCGUAGAAUACAGUUAAUCUGUAGAAAUCGAUUUCUAUAUAUUUUUUAGAAUUUUUGUAAUGUGUAGAUUUUGAUUUCUACAUGUUUUAGAUUUACAGUAAAUCUGUAGAAGGCAGUUUAUACUUGUUUUAGAUUUAUAGUAAAUAUGUAGAAGUUGGUUUCUACAUGUUUUAGAUCGGUAGGUCAAGCGCGGAAUGUGUAUUCUAAAUAUUUUUAGAAUACUCUUAUUUACGUAGAUCAUGUAUUCUAAACAUUGUAGAUUCAAUGAAAAAAGUAGAUUUUGUUUUCUACUUUGUAGAAUGUCAAUUCUACUUUAUUUAGAACAUAAUUUGAAAUUAUGAUUUAAACAUUUCUAGAACUGAAAAAAAAUACCACUAAGUUCAUAUAGGUAUUUUAUUAGUAGUUACUAUUUUUCCAAUUUUUUUUUGUUUGUAAAACUAUUUAUUUAAUUUAUUUUCAGAAAUAUUAAAGGAUAUUAUAGGUAAAAAUGGUACAAAUAUGAGAAUAGUCUAAAGGGACAUAGUUUCCAUUUUUUUUGCUCUAAAAAAACAAUUUUCCCUCUUUUGGUGACAAGCUGACAAUUGUUUCGAGUCAUGAAUCAUGGUUUUAUUAUCUCCUAAUUUGUCAUGACGACUUUUGACUUGUUUUGAAGUGAGUCGAUGACGUCUUUGAUGACGUCAGCUUUACAAAAUAUACACGAAAGGAAAAAAGUAAAUUGAUAAUAAAUUGGGAGGACCGGACCGGACCCCUUCUUAAUUUAUGUUAUAAUGUAGAAAAAAGUCUUACCCAAAACUUUAAGCCAGGUUUAUUUAAUUUUUUAUUCCAAGUUUGUUGUGUCUUAUUUGAAGAGCAUGAAUAAUGACCAGGUUUUAUUUUCGUAAGUUCUUGAAAGAUAAAAAUGUAUUAAAUAUAUUUAUGGCAAUUCUCUCAAAUAAACUUUAUUUUUGUCACAAAAAUAACUUUCAAAAAAGAAAAUAACCAAAUAGUCAUUUUUUAUUUUGAAAAUUUUAAUAUUUACUUUUUUCGUUUUUUGAAAUUUUGAAACCGUAUCCCAAAAAUCCGACCUCUUAACUCUAAACUAUGAGUAGAUAAAACUUAUUUUGAUCAUCUUUUUCAUUUUUUUUUAUCACGAGAUCAUUUUUUUCAUUAAAUGGUAUUUUUGUGACAAAAAACUUAAAAAGAGCUAUCAUUGAGAAUUUUUCAUAUUUUUAAUUCUACAUAUUAGUAUAUACUAUUCGUUCUUUGCUUUGUUUUAAAAGAGAACAAUGCCACAUUCCAAACAUCUAUAUCAGAACAUGGACCAUUCAACGAAAUGAUCAUAUAUGGUUUAUGAAAGUUUUUCCUUAUGAUGAUUAUACGACCAAAUCCGCGUGAAUUAAUCUUUCUUGUAAGAUAUGUAAAACGAAAUGAUCAAAUUCUUCUUUUUGUAAUUGCAAAUAGUUUCAUUCUUUUAGUUCAUCAAUAAAUCUAAAACCUCAACUUUGUUAGUUGUUGCAUAUAACACACAGUGAAAAGUGUUGAAACAAAUAGUUUCAUCACAAUUCAUCUUUUGAGUUCAAUUAAGAAACCCCAACUUUGUUACAUAUACACAAAUUGAAAAGUAGAUUGAUAAAAUGGACCACUUAAAAUGUUCUUUUUUUAUAUAUAUAUAGUUGAAGCAAAUAGUUUCAAUCACAGUUCAUCUUUUGAGUUCAAUCAAGAAUCUAAAACCCCAACAAUUUCUUCAGAGAGCGAGAGACUCUCCCGUUAAGCCUCUUCCAAAACCAAACCUUCACUGGAUAUUAAACUCUUCAUAGUAAUCAUCACUUAUAACCGCCACAAACCUCUCAAGCCAAGGAAGCUGGUGAAGAUCUUUCAUGGCUGCUUCAACAUACGACGACUCUGUAGUACAUGGAGGAGGAGGCGGUGGUGGCGACUGAUAAGAAGUAUGGUGAUCACUGAGACUAAACCCUCCACCUGCUAAGAACCGUUGGAUCAAAGCGAGCUGAGACCUUUCUUGCUCAGAGUAAGCGUCCAUUACAGUAGGAAUUGCGCUGAAUGUGUCCCAAGGCCAUUGCUCAAGCUCUUGGAUUGUGUUUUCAGACUCUGAGUUUUCUUCAUCUUCUUCCUCAUCGUCCCAAAAAGCGCAAGUGCAAGUCUGUUGCCCUUCUCUGUACUCUGCUCCACAACAGUAGCAAAACUCAUGCCCGCACCUAAGAUAAACACACAAAGAGAUGUUUCAACAUUGAUAUGAGAAACCACAAAGCGAGAACAAUACUUUAUCUAAGAUACCAAAUUCAACAUAUUAGACACUAACAACAUCCGUUGACAGCAUCUAAACCAAAUUUACAGUUUGUUCAGUUAAAAGUUCGGUUCGAUUUGGUGGGUUUAAAAAAAAAGUUCGGUUUUCGGUUCAGUUACUACGGUUAUAUUACAAAAAUUAUAACCAAAGCAUAAUGAAAACCCAAAACCGAACUAACCAAGUUUCGAACUGCACUAACCGAAAUAACCGAAUUUAUCCGAAAUUUUAACAAAAUUAAACCAAAAUCUAACCAAAAACUUCGAUAGGAUUUUCAAAAACCGAACUAACUGAUCCAAACUUUAUUUCAGAUUAAUUCGGUAAGAUUUAUGUCGAACCAAACUAACCGAACCCCGCAGGCCUACAUAUAUAUGAUUAUAGGUUAUAGGAAGAAUAGUAUCAUAGUUUAUAAAAGCAUUCAAGAACCAUAUUACGUAAUGUGUAGCUAUAAGAUAUGAAACAUGAUGUGGAUGUAAUGUCUUACCGACAAGUCAUGUGGUUGCAGCCUUGAGCAAGCUCAAUCAUUAUACGGCAUUGCUGACACCGUUUCCACCUCUUAUACCUAGCCAACCGAUGCAACGUUAUAUCAUCUGGAUAUCUUUCAUCAACCGGAAGAAUCUGAAACUCUUCACAGCUCAUAGAAUCGUGCCAUGGAACACCACAGUCCACGCACACAAACCUCUCACAGAGUGGACACUUCACACAGCAGCUAUUCUCUGACAUACUAGACGAGCUUGAGCUUGCACUUGCACUUGAUAGACAUUCACGCGGGUCUAACAGAAAGGAGCAAUUGGGAUAAGGGCAGUAAACCUUGCCGUUGUUGGUGCUACGCAGAUUAGCUUCCUCGAAUGAGGUGAAAGAUGUGACGGGGAGAAAGGUUUUGCAUUCGGUGGAUGAGAGGUGAUGCUUGCAUUGCAGUUGAGGACACCUGAUGGGAACUUCUGAAGAGUUUACUUUCCCUUCAACGUAUGUUUUCAUGCAAUGAGAACAGAACUUGUGAGUGCAUUUUAGUGUCAGCAUCAUCUCGGAGAGACGGUCUUCGCAGCAGAUGGAGCAGUUCUCAGCUGGUUUAUCCACAUCAAGAUUACAAAUUCCUACAGCUACUUGAGCUAGGCUUAGAGCUUGGUCAAGAUCAGAGAAAGGAGCAAGCUUUAGAACAAACCCAUCAAGAGUACUUGUUUUCUCCAGUACCCUUUCUCUUAAAGCUACCAGAAGAGGGACUUCAAGAUUCUCCUCACAAGUUAUCUGCAAAGCCAUUUCAUAUAAUGUAAUUAACAUGAGAAUAUGAGAUAGAAAGCUACAAACAGACUAAUUGAAAGAGACUUGCCUGAUUAUAGAGCAGCUCUGAGUCGGUUACAGCAACAACAGAACCGAGAUUGUUCUGUAAAGCUACUGUAAGACCAUCUAUCAAAGCCAAAUAGUUAGCUACAGACUCUUCAGCGUAAAAGUCCAGCUUCUUCUGGACCUGAAACAACUCAGAACCUCCUGAUCUCUCCAACACAACACCAAUUCCUGAAUAACCAGAACUCAAAUCUCCUCUUUCGGAUAAUGAAACUCCUUUAAAGAACAUCUUAACAGAGAACUCAUCCACAAGUUCAUCUUUAUUCUCCUCCUCAUCAGCUACUUUAGCUGUAUCAUCACUCUCCUUUAACCAGACUUCUUCAUCACCACAACAGCUUCUAAAAUCUUCCUCAUCUCCUACGUGGUUCAACGGCAGCUCAUCAUCACCACAAGAAACCUCUUGAUUCUCCAUUUUGGGGGCACUACACAAAAAAGGUACAAACUUUCUUUACUUAGCAACUAACCAAGGAAUGCCCAAAACAGAUCUGCAGAUUUUAUUGUGAUAAAGAUUUAACUCUUUGAUGAUAUCAUCUAAUCUCAAUUCUAAAAAUUCAAACUUAGAGAGAGAGAGAAAAUGAAAAAGAAAUGAACUUUACGUUACAGAUCACCAAAACAGCUAAUCUUACAGAAAUUAACUUCAAACAGAUCAGCUUAUAUCACGAGAAAAUCACGCAGAAAAUAACAAAAGAAACAGCACACGAUUGGUUCACCUACUAGAACCAACCUCAAUUAUUACAUAAACUUGAGUGAGAGGAAAAAAAAGAGUUUAAAUUUAAUUAAGAUAUAUGGUAAUAAAAACGAGAUCGGUUGAAUUUAAAAGAUCAUUAAUCAAGAACAAAAAAAAAACCCAGAAAUCUCUUACCAGUAAAAAAAAAAUCAAGUGGAGGGAGAAACUAAGAUCAGGGAAAAAAAGAUAUCUAAGCUGCCAUAUUCAAAAUCUCAGCUUUUUUUUUCCUUUAUUUGCAUUGUUUUGGAUGAUUCGACUGGAUAUUGUGGAGAGAAGACGAAGACGAAGAAGAAGGAGAAUCGGUUUUCUGGUCUUUUUGCUCUCUCUUGGAAUGGCGUAAGUGAAAAGUUUUUUACUUUAUUUUUUGUUUCUUUAUUCUCUUUUUUUUUAUUAGUUUAUUUUAAUUUGCUUUUUUUUAUAUAUAAAAAAAGAGAAUUUGCAUGGACAAAUCUCCAAAAUAGCACAUUUCUAAGUUUAUAUCACAAAAAUAGCACUCAAAAACUAAAAUGACCAAAAUAGCAUUUUAUCUUUUAAAAAAUUUAAAUUUUUUUAUUUUUCAAAAUUUAAAAUCUUAUCCCAAAACCUCACUUCUCAACUCUAAACCCUAAAACAUAAAUUCUAAAACCCUAAACCCUAAAUUCUAAACCCUAAACCCCAUCCCUUAAGUGUUAUUUUGUGACUUUUGGCAUUGAGUGCUAGUUUGGAAACAAAAACUUGAUUUACUGCUAUUUUGAUCUUUUUCUCAAUUUGUAUCCUAUAAUCAAACAAAAACCCAAAAUUAACUAACUAAUUUUAUAUAUAAAAAAUUAGUGCUCGGUUUCUCUUUGCUGUCAUUCUCGUACUGUGUUGCAAGUUUUUACAUUUUUUCUACGGUUUCACUGUUAGUUAGCAAAUAUUUUAAUUAAAAAUUAUUAGACCAAAUAUUAAAUAAUUUAACCAAUAAGCAGAAGAUUAAAUAAUUUAACCUGUAAUUGUAAUGGAUUAGGAGGCCCUGAAGAAUUAUAGCUUAAGAAAUCAAAGAAGCACAUGGACUUUGUCUCCUCUUAAUAGAGAAAAAGCUGUAAACUUCAUUAAAAAAAAUUCUUUUUCUGACUUUUAUCGUCCAAUAGUUUAUAUUCCCACUAUUGCUUUGAAUAAAGAUAACAAAAAGAAGUUAAAAUAUAUAUUUUUUUAAAUAUAUAUUGCUGCAAUAGAAGACACUCAAGGACAGUUGUGGCAGCAAGAAGUUUGAAAAUGGAGACAUCAAUCAUUAGCUUAAUUAUUUUAAACUUAAUUCAAAUAGGGCUUAAUAGCUUUAUGAGUGUUGUGGCAAAGGAACAAACAGAGGAAACAAACAUAACAUGUGUGAUUACUAAAACAAUAAACUAAAUCAAUCUAACUUUGUAGAUAUAUUUAGGGUAGUUAUGAUGCGUUAGUCUUAACCAAGAUGUUGAUUUUUUUUGUAACAUCUCCCGUUCAUUGACUUCAAACAGAGUGGUCAUUAACUCAACAUGUAGGAAUGAUAUAAUACAUGAUGGAACACAAAAUAAAGUUUUUAUUUACAUAAAAGAAAGUUACAAAGGAAGAGUUAUGAUUCAUGUCCUUUAACUAGAACAUGAGCUGCUUAGUUAGAGAAUCUUAGUGUCCAAAUAACUUCUGCUACUACAAACUUUCUUUGCUACUAUUUGAUCUACAAAGUUAUGAAUUAUGAAAUUUUAUCUUAUUCCCAUUGAUAAGAAUUGUCAUUCAUUUGUUGUCUCCUUAAAACAUAACACGCUGGCUGGUAUGCUAUUAUCCAGGCAUGUUUCAUGAUAUUAGGAUUUAUUUCCUUCACUUCGACCUACUUCAAAAUAGUCAAAUAGAGAACCAUCUGAAUCUUCAGCAUUAUCCUUCAGCCUUCGAUCAUAACGAAAGAUGCCAAGCCUGAUUAGGACAGCAUGGACGGAGGCCACUGGCAUGCAAGUUUCUGAGCGUAUAAAACUGAUACGCGGCAUUAUUUCUCGAUGGAACAAGGAACAUCAAGCCAACAGUCGGGUCCUAAUAGACCAAAAGCGACACGAGCUAGAAGAAGCUCAGUCCAGUACAACAAACGACAUCGAACUCAUCCACCGGGUCACUGAGGAUCUAAAGAAGGCAUACAGGGCAGAGGAAGCCUAUUGGAGACAAAGAAGCCGUCUGCUAUGGCUACGGUUAGGUGACCGCAACUCCGGAUUCUUCCAUGCGGCUACAAAAAACCGGAAAAGAGCCAAUGCUCUCACAGUCAUUGAGGACGGAAGCGGGAACCCAGUCUUUCAAGAGGGAGAGAUAGCUCAGGUCAUAGUAAAAUACUUCGAAACCCUCUUCACUACCUUAUCGGGAGAGCGCUCGGCUAUUGAAGAUGUUGUAGACAAAGCCUUAAAGCCGAUGGUAUCAUCUAGCGAGAACGAGAAGCUCAUCAGGAUACCGACCCCAGAAGAGAUAAAAACAGCUGUCUUCUCCAUACAUGCGGACAAAGCGCCAGGGCCGGACGGAUUCUCUGCGGGGUUUUUUCACGCUCAUUGGGAAGUAAUUGGAGCUGACAUUGUUCGAGAAGUCCAGGGUUUCUUCGAAACGAGCAAGCUGCCACCGAGUAUAAACGAAACCUUCAUCCGUCUCAUUCCGAAGAUUCAGAGCCCGAAAGUUGUGGCGGAUUACAGGCCAAUUGCUUUAUGCAAUGUCUACUACAAGAUCAUCUCCAAAAUCCUCACCAAAAGACUCCAACCCUUACUCCCAACCCUCAUCUCGGAAAACCAGUCCGCAUUUGUCCCGGGUAGAGCGAUAUCUGAUAAUGUCCUAAUCACCCAUGAAGUCCUAUACUUCCUUCAGAACUCGAAGGCGGAGAAGCGGUGCUCAAUGGCGGUGAAAGCGGACAUGAGCAAAGCCUACGAUAGACUAGAAUGGGAGUUUAUCCGGCUAGUCCUAGAGAAGUUGGGAUUCCACUCUCGAUGGAUAGCAUGGAUACUUGAAUGUGUUUCUUCUGUUACAUACGCCUUCCUCAUUAACGGUUCGCCUAGAGGGAAGGUUUCUCCGAGUAGAGGCAUCCGUCAAGGAGACCCUCUUUCACCCUACAUUUUCAUCCUUUGUAGCGAAGUGCUCUCGGGACUGUGUAACAGAGCUCAAGAAACUGGUCAGCUGACCGGCAUUCGAGUCGCUAGGGGCUGUCCCCAAGUGAACCAUCUCCUAUUUGCGGACGAUACAAUGUUCUUCGUGAAAGCAAACAAAGAGAACGCCUCUGCCUUAAAAGCGAUUCUUCAGCAAUAUGAAAGUGCAUCAGGGCAAGCGAUUAACACCAACAAGUCCUCGAUUACUUUCUCACGGAAAGCACCACUCUCGCUCAAGACUAUGAUCAAGGACUGUCUCCAUAUACCAAAGGAAGGUGGGGUAGGCAAAUAUCUAGGACUCCCGGAGCAUUUUGGCCGAAAGAAAAGGGACCUAUUCACAUCAAUCGUGGACCGGAUUAAAGUGAAGUCAAGUGGCUGGUCAAACAAGUUCCUCUCAACAGCGGGCAAGAUGGUUAUGCUUAAAAGCGUCCUAACCCCGGUUCCAUCUUAUUCCAUGACAUGUUUCAAGCUGCCCCGGUCGCUGUGCAAGCGGAUACAAUCAGCUGUGACCAGAUUUUGGUGGGAUGGAAGAAGUGGAAACCGGAAAAUGGCAUGGGUCUCUUGGGACAAGAUGACGAAAUCCAAACAGGAUGGAGGUCUGGGUUUUAGGGAUUUUGAGAGCUUCAAUGACGCGUACCUCGCAAAACUCGGAUGGCGAAUUCAUAAUAAUCCCUCGGGCCUUCUCAGCCGGGUGCUAACUGGAAAAUAUUGCACUGAUACUCCCUUCCUACAGGUUGCACAUAGAAGCGCCGAAUCGCACGGCUGGAGAGGGGUACUAAUAGGAAGGGACCUUAUGAUGAGCAAUGCUGGCUGGGCACUUGGGAAUGGAGAGAGUAUCAACAUCUGGUCUGACCCUUGGCUCAGCCAUUCUGAACAGGCGCGCCCUAUGGGCCCUGCCCCCGAGCAAUUCAUCCACUGGACAGUCAAAAAGCUCAUGCUACCGAAUGGUACAGAUUGGAACAGAGAGAUCAUUCAACAAGUGUUUCCUCACGAAGAAGCAAGAAUCCUAAGCCUAAAACCAAGCAAGACUGACGUAGCCGAUAAGCUAAUAUGGCUGGGAACUACUUCGGGAGAGUACACGACCAAAUCUGGCUACCUGAAAGCGCUAGAACUCAACGACACAAACCCUAUACCUCCCACGACUGUGGAAGUGGACUGGAAGAAGGGCAUCUGGAACCUACAAACUGCGCCCAAGAUCAAGCUGUUCCUCUGGAAAAUAUUCAAAGGAGCGCUCCCGGUGGGAGAGGCCCUGGCCGUGAGAAACAUUGGCUCUGCCCAGACCUGUGCACUUUGCGACUCAAACGAAUCUAUCAACCACCUAUUCCUUCAUUGCGAUUUCGCAUACAAUGUAUGGAGGCUUGCACCUUUUUCUACUUGUAUUGAUGCUAGAGGGUUGCUAGAUUUGUCCACUGCUUGGCUAGGUCUCUGUAAACUCACCUGUCUCCCUCCGGUGGAAAUCUCCCUCGGUCCUCUCGCGCCUUGGAUUCUAUGGGCUUUAUGGCUGGCCAGGAACGAUCGUAUUUUCAACAACAAGGGCACCACCCCAGAGGAAGUGAUCACAAAGGCAACCGCUGCAGCUCAAGAGUGGCUCCGAGAGCAGGGAAAUGAGCCAAUAAUAAGGAAUAACCCCCCACCACUGCGGCCUCUAGAUACAGCACACUACGCUUGCCUUCAGUCGGAUGCGGCAUGGCGUUCGGACUUACAUCUAGCAGGUCUGGGUUGGAUGGUGACUGAGGGACACCAGGCUAGCUCGCUCAUGUCUCACUGCUUCUACGUCAGCUCUCCCCUAAUCGCGGAGGGACUGGCACUUCGAGAAGCUAUGUUCUACUGCAUCGCCAAGGGACUCCGGGCCGUGAAGUGCGAAUCUGACUCUCUACAGCUCAUCCGAGCCUUGAAUGAGGAAACCCCCAUCUCAGAGAUCUAUGGCAUCAUUGCCGACAUCUUAAACCUUGUUGUCGCCUUUGAUUAUGUGUCUUUUGUUUGGAUCCCACGUUCUGAAAACAAGGCUGCUGAUGCUUUGGCAAAGCAGGCCUUGUCGAACGCAUCCUUUGUAGCUUCAUCCAUGAACCCGCGAGUUUAAUUUCUAAUGAAAGUAGUGUUACAAAAAAAAAAAAAGAGAACCAUCUGAAUCUCAUUAAGGCAUGUGGUAUCAGACUCACAUAAGAGAGUAGUGUGGGUUUGUGGAACUUUGUGAGAAAAUACUACAAUAUAUUGGCUCGACAAAGCAAUAUGGCCCAAUAUCGAUAGAUGGGCUACUCAGAUUUGUUUCUGAAUAAAACUAAUUUAGAUAUCCACUAACUCGGAUGUUACAGAUUUUUUUUUGUCUGACUUCGGAUUUUAAUGAUUCCUAAAUUACUAAUGAAAAAUUGUAGUAGGAUAUAGCGACAUGUUAACAAUUGAAACGACAACAAAAAUUCAAUUAUUAAUCUCUGAGAAAGUUAUUAAAGGUUUGGAACAUAUUAAAUUAAACAAUGUCGGUAAUUCGAUUUUAAUUUGAUCCUUACAUGAUAAUAAAACGAAUGUUUGGGAUUAGCCACACCUUCCAUCCGAUUAAACAAUAACAGGAUAAUGUUCAAUAGAAUUUUAAAAUUUAUACCUGACAAUGUACAUACAGAAAUACACAAUCAAUAGAAUCGGGAAUCUGAUUCUCCAAUGUAAUCUUCUUCUAUUGAUUUUGUCCAUUACUCUAUAAUUAAUUGACUUUCCACAUCAAGACCGAUAACAAGCCGGCUAAUAUUCCUUUAUAAACCAACAAAAACACAAAACAUUUAUUUCAUCAAACACCAUUAACUAUAAACUAACCUCCAUACUAAUGGCUACUACCAAACUAGUCAUGAAGCUCGUCUACAUCCUCCUCAUCAUCUUCACCUUUACCGUAUCUCCGGCCAUCUCAACGGCCCCGGAAAGUUGCGACAGCGGCUCCGAUAAUCCAUGCAUCGACAAAGCUAAGGCUUUACCACUCAAAAUCAUAGCCAUUGUUGCCAUCCUUACGACAAGCUUGAUAGGCGUAAUGGCUCCUCUUUUCAGCCGUUACAUUUCGUUCAUCCGUCCUGACGGCAACGGUUUCAUGAUCAUUAAGUGUUUUUCUUCCGGAAUCAUCCUCGGAACCGGUUUCAUGCAUGUCUUGCCUGGCUCUUUCGAGAUGUUGUCAUCGAAAUGUCUUAGUGAUGAUCCGUGGCAUAAGUUUCCUUUCGCGGGAUUUGUCGCUAUGUUGUCCGGUCUAGUAACUCUAGCUAUUGACUCCAUUACCACGAGCCUUUACACCGUCAAAAACGCAGUCGGACCAGUGCCUGAUGAAUAUGGCAUUGAUCAGGAAAAGGCGAUUCACAUUGUAGGUAACAAUCACAGUCACGGUCAUGGUGUUGUGCUAGCAACUACUAAAGAUGAUGGACCUUCAGAUCCACAGCUUUUACGAUACCGUAUAAUUGCCAUGGUUAGUGGAUUUAUUAAAAUAAUUUGAGACGAGCAUAAAUUCGACGUAGCAUUUUUAUUCAAAAUCAUAUAUUGAUACAUAUAUCACCAAAUUAUAUCGUGAAUAGGUAUUGGAGCUUGGGAUUUUAUUUCACUCCGUGGUCAUUGGACUAUCUCUAGGAGCAACUAACAAUGGAUGUACCAUUAAAGGACUCAUAAUAGCUCUAUGCUUCCAUCACUUGUUCGAAGGCAUGGGUCUCGGUGGAUGUAUCCUCCAGGUUCAGAUAUACAUACAUAUAUGUCUCUUCUAUCAAACUAAUUAUCAGUUUGAAGUUUACGUUCUUAUGUCAAUAAUUUACGUGAAACAGGCAGAUUUUGCCAAUGUGAAGAAGUUCUUGAUGUCAUUCUUUUUCGCUGGAACAACACCUUGUGCUAUCUUUCUUGGAAUCGCAUUGUCGAGUAUUUAUAGAGAUAACAGUCCAACCGCAUUGAUUACAAUCGGGCUGUUAAAUGCUUGCUCAGCCGGAAUGCUCAUCUACAUGGCACUCGUCGACCUUCUAGCUACUGAGUUCAUGGGAUCAAUGCUCCAAGGUAGCAUCAAACUUCAGAUCAAGUGCUUCGCGGCGGCAUUGCUCGGCUGCACCGUAAUGUCGGUCAUCGCCAAAUGGGCUUAAUACACUCAACAUAAGUAAUAUAUUAUUUGAUUUAUCAUAUUCAAGGGGGAAAUGAUUCGUCUUUUGUACAUUUGUACGUUUGUUUUAUAAUUUGAUUCAUACAAUUUUAAUUUGUAAAAUUGAGAUACAUGGCAAUAAAGCAUUGUAAACGUUUGAAAGAAUAUAUAUAUAUAUAUAUAUAUGACACGAAACUUUUUUUUAAAGAAUUGUAAAUUUAUUUCUAAGAAUGCAAUUUUUAUUUACUUCUUAGUAAAGAGAAAAAUUACACGGAUAUAUACAAUUAAUUUAAAAUUACAUUGUCUUAAAAUCAAACUAAUAUUUCAUGCAUGUGAUGUUAGAAUGGAUAUACUUAUUUCAAUUAGUUUACCGGGGUUUGAUGGCUUAUUGGAGGCACAGAAGGUAAGGGCAUCCCUCUCACUUCUUCAUUCGGAGAUUGAGGCAUUAAUUUAUACAAUGGAAUGUAUGCAAAAUUUAAGGCAAUUUCAGAUUAUGUUUGCAACGGAUUGUUUUCAACUGGUGAAGAUGGUUUCGAAACCAAAGGAAUGAUCAGCAUUUAAAAGUUACCUCGAAGAUAUUAAACUUUUCUGACAAAUUUUUGUCAACUCAGAAAUCGUUCAUGUUCCUAGGACGGAGAACAAAAGAGCGGAUAGUUUGGCACGUAGUGCUCGGCAACAACCGUCUUUCGUCGUGCACAUGGAUGCAGAUUUACCACAUUGGUUUACAGAGUCCACAUGAGUGUGUAAAUGUUUGCUGUCAAAAAAAAAAAGAGCUCAUCCAUUGUGGGGGCUGUUUGUUUUCUCCAUCUACCAUCUUCAUCUAGCUGCUCCAUCUAUGUAAUGCAUCCAAAUGAUCUAUCCAAAUGAUCAUUCCAGAUUUUAGGAACCAUUCGUUUCUCCAUUUCUCCAUCUAGAUGAACCAUUUAGAUGAAUCAUCUGGAUGAAUUUUAUGUUUAUUUCUUUAUUUAUAUUUUCAUCCAGAUGAGUUUAAUAAACAAAUUACAAAUAUAUAUUUUUUUAUUUAAUUAUAUGUUUGAUAUUAAUUUUAACUAUACUAACUUUUAUUAUUUAGUAUAAAAUAUAUUUACACUGAAAUUAUUAUAAAAUUAGCAUUUCACAUUUAGAAAAUUUUAAUUUAUUUAUUUUUAUUUAAAUUUGUAUUAAAAUUUAACUACGACUAUAACUUUUCAUAAAACUCAAAAUAGAAAUUCAAAUUGAAUAAAUUUCCAAAUAACUCAAAGUGCAAACUCAAAAUUUGUAAAACUAAAAUUUAAAAGAUGAAAGCAAUGGUAAGAACACCAUGUACUCAAAUUUUGCAGUUUAAGCAGAAAAAUAUGGCUUUGCGAUUUUGGCGGGAAACAUGUUUUUAAGGUUUUGGCGGGAAGACGUAUUUUGGGGGUUUCGGCGAGAAAUCGUGUUUUGCGGUUUUGGCGAGAAACCGCGUUUUGCGGUUUUGGCGGGAAAUCGCGUUUUGGCGGUUUUGACGGGAAAAUGUGUUUUGGCGGUUUUGACGGGAAACACAAUUCUACGAUUUUGGCGGGAAAACGCAAUUUUACGAUUUUGGUGGAAAACACUCAUUUGCGGUUUUGGGGGAAAACGCGCUGAUGUGGUUUUGGCGGAAAAUGCGCUGAUGCGGUUUUGGCGGAAAACGCGCAGAUGCGGUUUUGGCAGAAAAACGCGUUUUCGCAGUUUUGGCGGGAAAAUGCGUUUUUGUGAUUUUGAAAAACGUGUUUUUGUGAUUUUGACGAAUAAAACGUGUUUUUGUGAUUUUGGCAGGAAAACACGCUUUUGUGGUUUUGGUGACAAACCGCUUUUUUACGGUUUUUACGGAAAAACACGUUUUGGCGGGAAAUGCAAUUUUGCGGUUUUGGCGGAAAAACGUGUUUUUGCAGCUUUUACAGUUUUUGCGGGAAACGUUUUUUGAUGUGAAAGUGCAUUUUUGUGGUUUUGGCGGGAAGUAUAUUUUUACGAGAAAAUUGCGAUUUUGGCCAAAAAUUGUGUUUUGUAUUUUUGGUGGGAAAAAUAUUCUUUUGUGGUUUUGUCGUUUUUCAUGAAUGAUAAAAUGAUAUUAGGUUUGAGUUUGUAAUUUGUUAAUUACAUGGAGGUAUAAUAGACAUUACACCAUUUUGACAAACUCAUCUCCAUCCAGAUGAUCCAAUUUGGAUCAGCCAGCUGAGUUUUAAAAUUAAGGCUAAAUUGGUAAAGCUCAUUCAGAUGAGCCAUCCAGAUGACUUGUAGUUUUGGUGCCUAAAUGAACAAAACUCCCAUCUUCAUUCAAAUGGUCCAUCUGAAUGGAGAAACGAACAGCCCAUAUAUCAUAUGAAAACUUCGAAUAGUGAAGAGAACCGAUAACGACAUUAGACCAGCUCUAUUGAGAGGUUUUAAUAGGUAUCUUAGAAUUAAAAUAUUGAAAAAGAUGAAAGAAGAUUAAAAGCGGCAUGGGUGCAGAGAUAUUGUCCCCUUGAGAUUAAAACCCCUCUCUACUGUAUGUCUCUCUCUUAUUGGUCAAUUUAUUUUCCUAAACAAAAUUCUUUAAUUUUUUUUUUGUUUUCAGAUACCCGAUGUAGGUAUUAAACCAAUGUGGUUGUUCUUGCGUAGAAUACAGUAAUGGAGUUGAGUCAAUUUACACUCGUAUUUCAUAUCAUUCCAUUUCCACAGAAAACGGUAUACAAACAAUAUACUAUAAGUUAUAUAAAUCUUGAAUCUCUAGAGAAGACCGAUCCUGAGAUUUUGUUCUUGUUCAAGAGAUAACCGAACGAUUUCUUUCGAAAGUUUCAUUAUUUUGGAUUGAACUGUGGAUUUCAAACAUAUUAGCUCGUCUUCUUAGAACGGCGGAUAAAGAUCUUCACUAAUUCAUUCUUCUAUAAGAUGUGAUAAAAGGGACAUUACCCUAUUCGUCAGUAGUCUAUGGAUGAAUACGCGUAGAAUUAUACUACGUCGAAAAGAUAUUCUGUAAAAUCUGAUUGUGACUUUCUUUAGAGGACAAACCUUCAACGAAAGCAGGUGCAAGUUUUGAAACCAAGUAUCACAACUUUAUAGAGUUGUGUGGAAAGUCCAAAUUUCAAAAAUUAUUAGGUAUUUUAUGUGGCAGAUCCUAUCAAAUUGUGUUGCAACAAUGAAGCGACUUAAAUAUAGGCAUUUGGAUGCUGAUAGGGGUUGUUCUGGUAACCGAGAAGAAUCUAUAAAUCAUUUUUAUUUGAAUAUCCUUCAGUUUCAAAGGUUUGAGAUUUAUCAGAUGGACUUAUUUGCUAAAUAACCAAAAAAAAAAGAGUUAUUAGAUUUUUAGUAAGAAGUUAGAGAGAGAUAGGAAGAGAAAUGAGGAUAGAGAGAAAGUGUUUUUGUUAGUAGUGGAUUUGUGUAUUUUAAUGGUUACAGGGUGCAAAUUUCCAGAUUAUUCGUCCUUUUCAGAUUCUUUGUGGUUUCUUUCUGAAGACAUCUUAUAUAACUCUAUAUUCUUUGUGGAUACGAGAUAUUUUUUUUCUGCCAUAUGUCAUACAGGAUUGGAUGGUGGUGUUUCCAUGAGCGUUGUUACCAUAUAUCAAAACUUGAUUUAAUAGAGUGGUUUGUUGACAAAAAAGCUGUUAGUGACGUAUUAUCGAAUUCUAAAUUUCUGAAUAUUCAUGAAGGAUAUUAUAGUGAUUUCAUAUAGUUUUAGCCAUCUAUACUAUUAAAGCAGGAUCCUAUUUGCAUUUUUACCUUAGCAUGUCAUUUUCUUUACUAACAUUGCAUGUUUCAUUAAGGGUAAUCAAGUAAUUUUAAUAACACAUCUAUAUUGGGUCUUUUUUUUUAUCCAGCCCACAUCAGAUCUCUCUUGGACCAUUUGAGCCGAUUAAGAAAUCAGAUCCAAUUCUCACAUUUUUUUUUCCUUUGAGCCAUUGAGUCCAAGUUCAAAUAAUUUUUUUUCAACUAUCCUUAAAUUUUUUUCUUAAUAUAAUUUAAACAUUCAUAAAAAAAUUGAAUUUUUUAUUGAAAAGUAUAAAUCUUUAUUAAAAUUAUAUAAUUUUUUUAUUAAAAUAUUAACCACAUAAUAAAAUUAAUUUAUCAGAGUUAUACCAAUUUAAUUCAUUAAAGAAAUAAAGUUUAAUUUUUUAAACAUAAAUAGUCAUUUAAAAUAAAAUACGAUAAAUAAAAAUAAAAAAUGUAAGUCUUUUAUAAAAUAAAACACAAAUAUAUGAAAAUAUGACAUUUCAAUUGAAAAAAUAAAUAAAUAAAUCUGCGCUUUGAAAGCGCGGAUCAAAAUCUAGUUACUUUUUAUAAAACCAUACACUUACAUGCCUUAUCAAUCUAUGUGGUUUAUGAUUUUAAGUUUUUAACAAGAUAGCUAUUUUUGAUCCAAAAAAAGUUAGCUAUUUAUGGGGAGAAAUAGCUAACAAAAUGAGAUUACUACCCAAUAUGGAAAAUAUUUCCAUUAUUAUAUCAAAGUUGUCUGAAUCGAAAUAUGGGCUAUUUUGUCACGUCGGUGGAUAUAAGUCGAGUCUGGCACGUACUGCUUCGUGCCCGUCCAACUAUAUGGAAACAGGAAACGUGGAAACUAAAGAGACAGUUAAACAAUACUAAUUCCAAUUUAGUGUAUUUAUUCUUUGACAAUUUUUAUAGACGUUGACUUGUAAGAAGGCAUGCCCUGAAUAAUUGGAUACAUUCUCGGCAUGGACAGUGUUGAUUAUACAGGAUAAAGUAAAUAACUAUAUUGUUUAAUACUAUUUCUGCCAUAACCGCUCUGAAUAUCCGAAUGCAUGGACCUACAGAUAUGUUAGGCACAAAAACCCUUUAAUUUUAAACAAGAAAACAUAAAACUUCGAGAGAACUAUUCAAAGAAAUUAAAGAAGACAAGCCACUGAAAAUAGAAUUCAAGAAGAAUGAUGAUAUUAGUCGGCUUUUAGCAUCGUCGAUUACGAGAUAUAUUCUGCGAAUGAUUGUGUGCCGUCUUGGACUUGCAUAAAAAUAAAUUCACUAUAAACCACAUAAUUUGUUAAAUCUUUUAUUUUGAGUUUUUUUCAUGUCAGCGUUAUUUAUAGCGUUUUUAGACCAUCUCCAAUGGCUUACUCUAUUUUUUACUCUAAAAUAGAGUAACUCUAUAAUAGAGUUUGAAUUUGCUCCAAUGGUACUCUAUUUUAGAGUAAAAAAUAGAGUAAUGAAUAAAAAAAAACAAAUUACUCUAUAUUUGGAGUAAACAUAUUUUUCACUCUAUUAUAGAGUGAGAAAUAGAGUACCAUUGGAGCAUUUCUUACUCUAAACUCUAUUUUAGAGUGAAAAAUAGAGUGUGGUUGGAGAUGCUCUUACAUUACAUAAUCAAAUUAUGUAUUUAAUUAUAAUGUUGAGUUAACAAUUCUAAGGCUAAAUAAUAUAUAUGAAUUUGAAUUCAAUCAUUAAAUCAUUUAUAGUUUGGGUAUCUCUAACCCACUCUAUUUUUCUCACUAAAAUAAAAUUUAGAACAAAAAUGCUCUAAUGAUAUUCUAUUUUUCACUCUAUAAUAGAGUAAAAAUGAGUUUAUAUAUAUAUAUAUAUAGAGUAAAUUGUUUAUUUUUGUUUAUCGAUCUAUUUUUUAAUUUUAAAAUAGAGUACCAUUGGAAUCUAACUAAAUUCUAUUUAGAGUUAUUAUAUUUUAGAGCGAAAAAUAAAGUGAACCAUUAGAGAUUGUCUUAGACCAAUCAUCAAAAUUCAGAUAUAUUCUUAUCAAUUAAUCAACAUUUGGCCAGGCAAAAAAAUGAAUAUAUUCGUAGACACAAUUUUAACAAACUUGCACAAAGGAUUAACAAGGAUUUAUCAAUGAUUUUAUAAGCCUUUACGAUUCCUACCAUACUCCUUAUCAAUUUUAAUAAAAAUGAUUUAUAAUCUUUUAUAAAUCUUUAUAAGCAUUAUACUUUAUUUUAUAACUCUUAUAAAUAGUUUAUAAGUCUAUUAAAAUAUUUCUAAGAUCAUAUAAACGAUUAAAAAGUUUUAGAAAAUAAUAUUAUAAAUUUUAAACUUAUUCUUUAGUUUUGGACUAUUACAACUGAUUUUGUUUUAUAUUUUUAUAAGCGAUUAAUAAGGCUCUAGAAAUGAUUUUAUAUGCCUAUAUAUUCUCAUAUAUUAUUUAUGAAAUUUUAUAGCCAAAUUUACAAGAUUUUAUAAACAAUCUUAAAUUUUUUUUUAUCAUUUUUAAUGAUUUAAAACUUUUAUCAAACUUUACAAAUUUUAAUAAAUGAUUUUACAUGGUUUAGUAUAUAAUCUUUCAACUAACUUUUUAACUAUUUUCAUUUAAAAUAGAUGAAACUAUAGACAGAAGGUGAUUUAUGUUAACAGUUUAUAAGCUGAGAGUUUAAAACGUCAAAAGUAUUAAUUGAGUGAUUUUAUCCUGAUUCAAAAUAAUUAAAGGGUUUAUCACUAAACACCAUAUAUAAGAAUUGUAGUUUCAAAAUUGCACAUUCAUUCCUCCCAUUAUAAAACGUAGGUUGCUACUUGUCCUAUUUUUAAGUUGUUCUAUAUAUAGUUAGAAAAUAAAACCUUGAAAAUAUAUGAUUCAUAUAUUUAAAAAAGUCAUGCUACGAGCCUAAGGUAUCAAUAAGUUAAAUUGAUAAUGAUACUUGCAAUAUUUACAAAAAAUCAGUAUAUGUUGUAUGACUAGAUUGCAACCAUGUAGUUGCACACGCUCAUCACGUGUAAUUUUGUGUUCUUCGCAAUUCAAUAAAAUAUAAACCCGUUCAUGUCACAAUUAGCAGUACGUAUUUGCUUAACUAAUAGUACAGGAUGAAAGUAAACGUUUCUGAGAGAAUUGACUAAAGAGACGCAUGGGGUUGACUUCGACCGCUUAACAAACCGCAUGAAAAUUGCAGUUUACUUCAGGAUUCCCCGCUUUGGUCAAUGGAUGUGAUUCGGGUUGCAUAUUAUUAAAAACUUAAACUAUUUAAAUUGCAUCAAAAUAUGAUUCAGUUUUUGGAUUGUUUAUUUAUGUUCAGAAGUAUCAGCUGCUGAUAUACCCAACUUUUUUUGUUUAAAUGCAACGGAAUAGUUGCGAGUAUUAUUUGUUUGAAGAACAAUCUUCCGAGCGUAUGUAAACUAGACAUAAUUGUUUACAAUUAAACCUCAUAUAAUUAGAUAUACAAAAAAUCAAGCUAUAUUGAAAAUAAAAAAAACACGGCAACAAGAAAAGAAAAAUAAAAGAAUUCACAGAAUUAAUAUUUUCCCAUGCAAAUAUAUAUUUUGUUAUUUACAGCAGGUGACUAAGAUAUAUAAUUCACUUCUUUUUUUUUUUGAAAUCAGAACGAAUCGUGUUGCCUUGCUAAGCCUAUAUAUGUAAAAUAUAUACUAUUAAAUAUUAAUUUGAAAAAUCGCGUCAGAAUUCAUAUAUGAAUGUCUACAUUUUAAUUAAUUAUCUAAUAAAAAUAGCGAAAGCUCCAGCUGUUUAUUUAAAUCUUGUAGAAUAUGGUAUAGUCUUGAACAGAUAAAUAAGCUCCAAAAACGUAUUCGGGAAAAUGCUGUGUCCUGAGUUUAUCCAUGUACGUAGCUAGGCAACAUAGAUAUCUAACUCUUAAAGUAACUGGGUUUACAUGUUGCCGGUGAACCGGCUCCCAAAAAUUAUCAAACCCUUGAAUUUGAAUACACCUGGAUUAUAAAAAAAGAAAAGAAUAUAUACUCGCAAAAGUAUUUGAAAAAAAUAUUAUAUCUCAAUUUCUUUUGAUAAGGUUGCCUUUUUGGAAUAUUGAUUCAUUUGUUUUCCCACUACACAUAGCAAUUAAUUUUUGCCAUCAGUGAAAAUAAGUGGCAUGCAAACAUCGGCUCAUUCCAUAAGUCCAAUCCAAAGCACAGACUAUAUAUAUAUAUAUAACUUGGCUCAUUCCAUAACUCCAAUCCAAAGCACAAACAUAAAACAAUACAAACACACAAAACUCCAGAUAGAGACAAAGAUGGCUUCAAUUCCAACAGUCCUCGUGAAAACAAUGUUCCUCGUACUAAUCUUUGUCUCUUUUACAAUCUCUCCAGCAACUUCAACGGCACCUGAAGACUGCGCAAGCGAGUCAGCGAAUCCGUGCGUCAACAAAACUAAAGCUUUGCCUCUCAAAAUCAUAGCAAUUGCUGCAAUACUAGUAGCAAGCAUGAUUGGUGUUGGAGCUCCUCUCUUUAGCCGGAACGUGCCCUUCCUUCAACCUGAUGGGAACAUUUUCACUAUAGUUAAGUGUUUCGCCUCAGGGAUUAUCCUCGGAACCGGUUUUAUGCACGUUUUGCCUGAUUCUUUCGAGAUGUUAUCAUCACAAUGUCUUAAAGAGAACCCGUGGCACAAAUUUCCCUUCUCUGGGUUUCUCGCUAUGCUGUCCGGUCUAAUCACUUUAGUCAUUGAUUCAAUGGCCACGAGCAUCUAUACUAGAAAGAACGCAGUUGGGAUCAUACCCCAUGGGCAUGGUCACGGCCCUGGAAAUGAUGUUACUUUACCAACAAAAGAUGGAGAUUCUGCGGAUGCACAACUCUUGAGAUAUCGAGUCAUUGCUAUGGUUAGUACACAUAUCAUUUAAAACCGAAUUUUAAUCGACGGUAUCAUUUUAAUUAUAUAUAACCGAAUAUAAAUAUGAUGAAUAUAUAUAGGUCUUGGAACUUGGAAUCAUAGUUCACUCUGUGGUCAUUGGACUAUCUCUAGGAGCAACAAGCGACACUUGCACCAUUAAAGGACUCAUUGCAGCCCUUUGCUUCCAUCAAAUGUUCGAAGGCAUGGGUCUUGGUGGUUGCAUUCUCCAGGUAUAUAAAAUUAUAUAUAAUAAACUUUUUUCUUUAUAAAACGUUAAAAUUACAAGUAAUAAACUUUUAAUGUUUGAGAUAUUUUCAGGCUGAGUAUACGAACUUGAAUAAGUUUCUUAUGGCGUUCUUUUUUGCAAUAACAACGCCAUUCGGAAUAGCCUUAGGGAUAGCUCUUUCGACAAUUUACAGAGACAAUAGCCCUAGUGCGUUGAUCACUGUAGGAUUGCUCAAUGCAUGCUCCGCUGGAUUGCUCAUCUACAUGGCGCUUGUAGACCUUCUAGCGGCCGAGUUCAUGGGACCAAAGCUUCAAGGUAGCAUCAAAAUGCAGAUCAAGUGUUUCAUUGCGGCUCUUCUAGGGUGUGGUGGCAUGUCCAUCAUCGCCAAAUGGGCUUAACUAAUUGCCCGAAUAGUACUCCGGAACUGAAGUCAUGUGUGGAUUUUGUUGUCGAACGAUUACAAGAUACUUACGUGGUAUCUUAAUGUUUUUUCAUAUGCAUGUAACUGUGAUUGGAACCACGACCCCGAGUAUUUCCUUCUGUUUAGGGGAAGUAGUUCUUGUUGUAUAAUGUUUUCGCAUCUCAUUCAAAACAAAUAAAACUCUUUUUCAAGAAAAGCAAAUUAUAGAAAAUAGAAUGAUAUGUUACGUAAUCUAAAUUCGUCAAGCGGAAUGCCAAUCAUUGGAACAUUAAUGGUGAAUAUAGUCUAUAUAUAAGUAGGCCGGUACACUGUACACAUGUCCAUUGUUAACAACAUGCACACCAUACUGCUUCAGUUCUGAAAUUUACUUUUCUUAUCUGAAGCGUUUCCUUUAGUGUGAUACUCAGAGUUCUACCGGUUGACUUUAACCCAAUACAUUAGAUUUGUUUGGUAUUUCUAAAUAUCUACACAUUUUAGUGACUACCCAAAUGAUGGUGAUCCAAUAAAGUGGUAAUAUCUAGAAAUGUAUUACAAAAUGACAAAAGAAAGAGUUGGGUUCUCUCAACACAGCACCCAUUACAGCAUAAUACUUGAAAAGGAAGUUAGUUCCUUACCUUAUUUUUUAAGUCUAUUGGUGUCCACUACGUUGAAAACCCAUUUUCAGACCACACAAAGGGAAUGAGCUAGAUCGAAGCCCGGUGAGGGAAAGACAACCAAUAUAUCCCGCAAGGCCGCAAGUCCUAGUCCAGAAAAUUUCUGACUAUAUUUUUGUGAUCUAAAAAGGUAUGUCAAUAAUUUCUUUAUUAGCCAGUCAAUAAUCUAUAUCGCAUAAUUGUUACAAGUUAAAAAAUGUAAGGCAAAAUUAGAAUGUCUUAAACAAAAGAAUCGGUUGCAGACCAAUUGGUUAUUGCAUAUUGCAUUAACCAUUAACAUUUGUACGGUAUAUCACAUAUACCCAAUUCAAAAACAAUAGUUAAACCUUGACAGUGAUGAAAGAAAAUAAUUGGGAAUAUGGUUACAUCAUGGCGUCACCAAACUAAUUCCUUUUUUUGCUAAAUUAACUACUUCAACUUGUUAAACUUUCACCAAACUUGCCUCCAUGCCUAUCCAUCUUCCUAUAACUUAUGUCCCUAUAAUUACAUAAACAAAAUUAUGAGUGACAUUUAAUUUGAAUAUAAUAUAUUAUGCGAUAUGAGAUAGCUAGUGAUUUAUUUAAGAAUUUGUCUUCUAAAUCCAUUAUUUGACCAACAUGUAAUUUUUAAAUGUGAAUUUCAAUUCCUCAAAUUACUUAUUUCCAUUUAUUUGGUGUGAUACUGGGAAAAAACUGUCUCAAAUUUUUACUAUAACCAAAUAGCAAGGAUGUCAAAAUGAGUUAGACCGUUCAACUCAUUGCAUCUACUAGUGAGCUCGGAUCUUUCAUGAAUUAGCUCGGUUCAGCUAAUUUAUUAUAUGAGGUUCAAUAUAUAAAUUCAAACUCAAGUCAUCUAGAUCAUGAAUCAAAUGAGAUAACUCACGAUCUAAUGUAAAAAUAAUUAUAAUAAAAACAAAAUAUUAAAAUACAUUUUAUAAUAUUAAAAGUAUAACUUCUAUAUUAGUUAUCUAUGUUUUAUCAAUUUCAAAUGUAAAAUAAAAUAUCAAAUAAGAUAAUUACGAGUAAUAUAGGAAUUAUCUCUUAGGAAUAGUUUGCUUUACAUUUUAAUUUAAAGAUAUAUAUGAGACUAUGAGUGAUAUAAAUAUUUUUAACAUUUUCUAUAUAUAUCUAUAAAAAAAUUGGUUUUAAAUUUUAAUUUUAGAAGAUAAAUAUUAUUAAUAUAGAAAUUUUCAUUAUUUAACAUAAGAAAAUAGAAGUUUCCGAUAUGUAUAAAUAUAUAUAUAUAUAUUUUUUUUAAUUAUAAAAUUGAUCAAACUCAUGAGUUGUCUCAUAUUCAUUAAAAGUCGUUCAUGUAGCUCGUAAUUUAAUUUAAAUUCUCUUAUUAAAAUUAUUUAUUAAAUAAGCCUAAAAUAGAAAAUUUGUGUCGAUGAAAAAUCGAAUUGAGCUGGAAAGCUCAUGAGAUAUAACUCAUUUUAGCACCUCUACCAAACAGUCGACUCUAGAUUGGAGUUGCGAUGGUAUUCUUCUUUGAUGUGGAAAUACUUCUAAUCAUAUUUUCAAUUGUGUUUCCAGAAACAAGCAAAUUCGACACAAUAAAUGGAACAUGUAAAAAUAGAAUAGAACAAACGUACCAAAAAUCAGUUCCUUUCUGAGAGGGAAAUUAAGGCAAUCAAUAACAUGUAUAUUAUCCUAAAGUUCAAAUAUACUAUAGCACAGCAAACAUAAUAAAAUUUAGUUUAUAUUUUCCAUGGAAUUAUUGAGUUAGCCGACAUAAAGAUAGUGGACGAUAUAAAACAUAUUCUUAUCCUAAAUAAUAUAAGUGUUAUGUUAACUAGUAAACAAUAAUUUCUUCAUAACCAACAAUAAACGGCAUGAAAAGAACCGGAGUACAUUACUGUAUAAACCGACUCAUCGAACAGGUGCAGAUAUAUAGACAUUGAACAACCGAACAGUACACAAAACUCCAAAAGAAAAAGAAGAAAAAAUGGCUUCAACCUCAACACUUCUAAUGAAAACAAUCUUCAUCUUACUUAUCUUUGUCUCUUUUACAAUCUCUCCGGCAACUUCAACGGCGCCGGAACACUGCGGAAGCGAGUCAGCUAACUCGUGCAUCAACAAGGCUAAAGCUUUACCUCUCAAAAUAGUAGCAAUUGCCACAAUCCUAGUAGCAAGCAUGAUUGGUGUUGGAGCUCCUCUCUUUAGCAGUAACGUGCCGUUCCUUCAGCCCGACGGGAACAUUUUCAUUAUCGUUAAGUGUUUUGCCUCAGGGAUUAUCCUAGGAACCGGUUUUAUGCACGUUUUGCCUGAUUCUUUUGAGAUGUUGUCAUCACAAUGUCUUGAAGAGAACCCGUGGCACAAAUUUCCAUUCUCCGGGUUUCUCGCUAUGUUGUCCAGUCUAAUCACUUUAUUCAUUGAUUCCAUGGCUACGAGCAUCUAUGCUAGCAAUAACGCAGAUGGGGUCGUACCGUAUGGUCCUGUAAAUGGUGUUACCUUACCAACAAAAGUUGACGAUUCUGCACAACUCUUGCGCUAUCGAGUCAUUGCUAUGGUUAGUACACAUAUAGUCGUAUUAAAAAACGAACUAGAUCUUGAUCCGCGCUUCAAAAAUGCAGAUUUUUUUACAAUAAAAAAUUUAAUAAUGUUAAUGAUUUUUAUAUGUUAUUAUGUUACAAUAUUGAAUUAUAUCAAAACAAAUUUUUUUAUAAAGUUAUAUGAUUUAUGAAUUAAUUUAUUUAAAAUUUUGUAUGUAUAUUCUUAUGUAACUCUCUCUUAGGUCCAAACAUUUUAUCUGGUUCGAAUAAAAACCGAUCCGAAUCGGUUCAGAUCCAAGUCUACGGCAAAGUAUCUAUUCGGUAUAUUUCAGACCCGCAGUGUCGGUUUAGGUUUGAAUUCUACAGAGAUCUGAACCGGCACCCUGAGUAUCUAAAAUGUAUUGUGUAUAUUAAAUAUAUUUUUCUGUUUCAAAUAUAUCUUCGGUAUCACGAUUAUUCUUUUGUGUUUCAGAUUCGGUUUUCGGUUAAUGUUUCAGAUUUCAAAUAAAAUGUUAGAUUUUUAGAAACAUAUUUCGUGUAUACGCAUAAAAUUUUGAAUAUAAUUAAAAAACUUUAAAGUAUUGUCAUGUUUCUAUACAUUAUGUUUUACAUAAAAGUUUUACAUUCUGUAUAUAAAAAAAUUUGGUUCAUAUAAUAUGUUAAUAAAUGUUGUAAAUCAGCCUUUAUGUGGAGCGGAUAAAUGAUCAUCAAAGCUGACAAUAUAAACUAUAUCUAAAUAUUAUCUUUCUGGUAUUUGAAAAUAAAUGCUAUUAUAAUUAUUUUCUGUUAAUAAGCACAAAAUCUGGUCGCAAAAUCUUUUAGUUUGGUACAAAUAUUAAAUGUAUUAUAUGGAGUUGAUUAAUUAAUGUGAUAUAAAAUAUAAUAUUCUAAUGAAAGGGUCCAACAAUCUUUUAUAAGUAGAUUUUUAAAGAUUGUUUCCCUUUUAAUAAUAUAUAUACUUAUCGACGGUAUAAUUUUAAUGAUAUUUAACUGUAUAAAUUUUAUGAAUAAGUAGGUAUUGGAACUUGGAAUCAUAGUUCAUUCUGUGGUCAUUGGACUUUCUCUAGGAGCAACAAAUGACAUUUGCACCAUAAAAUCACUCAUCACAGCUCUUUGCUUCCAUCAAAUGUUCGAAGGCAUAGGUCUUGGUGGUUGCAUUCUCCAGGUAUAUAAAAUUAUACAUAAGAAAUAUUUAUUUUCUUUCAAAAUGUUAAAUUGUAAAUAAUAAUACUUUUAACGUUUGGAUGUUUUCAGGCCGAGUAUACGAAGUUGAGUAAGUUUCUUAUGGCGUUCUUUUUUGCGAUAACAACUCCAUUCGGAAUAGCGUUAGGGAUCGCCCUCUCGACAAUUUACAGAAACAAUAGCCACAGUGCAUUAAUCACUGUUGGAUUGCUCAAUGCAUGCUCCUCGGGAUUGCUCAUCUACAUGGCGCUUGUGGACCUUCUAGCGGCCGAUUUCAUGGGACCAAAGCUUCAAGGUAGCGUCAAAAUGCAGAUCAAGUGUUUCGUAGCGGCUCUUCUAGGGUGUGGUGGCAUGUCGAUCAUCGCCAAAUGGGCUUAACCAAUUCCAUGGAGAGUACUGCGGAACUGAAAUGUGAAAUUUUGUUGUCGAACUAAAAACCGUUUUUGAGUCUCGAUUCUUUAUCGUUUCUUUCCAUUACAAGAUACGUGGUACCUAUCAUGUGUAAUGUCUUUUAAGAUGUAUGUAUGGUGAUUGUGAAAGUGCAAGAUGGGUCUCAUAUAGAAAUUAAUACAUAUAAACAUUUUUUCAGAACAACAAUACAUAUAAAUACUAUAUUUUCUUUAUGAUACAAAGUAAAUAAUGAAGGUUUCUCUUACAAAGAAAAAAAGUGUAAAUGAUAUUAACAUAGAUAUAUUGUAUAUUUUUAAUAUUGAUAUAUAUUAAAUGAUAUUUUCUACUCAUGAUUUUUGAUCAUUUGUAUCUGUUUAUAACAAAAACUCCGAAUCACUGAUAAUAAUUUUUUUGUUUUGGGAUGUUUAAUAAUUUUAAUAAUUUAUAUUUUUUUUAAACUAUGCAAAGUUUAAAAUUAAACAAAAAAUGAUAGAGAAUACACUAAUUUGUUUAAUCAAAUCUUUAUUAUUCAAAAUCAUUAUUUUUCAAAAUAUGGAAGUGUCUAAUGUGGCUAAUAUAUAUAUAUAUAUAUAUUAGCCACAUUAGACACUUCCAUAUUUUUUAUUUAAAGAAAGAAUGAAUAACAUUAAUAAUUAAUUUAUGGUUAGUUUAAUAUGAAGUUUAUUAUAUAUUUAGAUGGAUUAACUUAUUUCUUUGAAAAUUGUAAAAAUCAUUGUGGUGAUAACACAUGGCUAUCUCAAAUAUUGUAAAUGAUUCACAAAUAAUAUAUAAGAGAUUUUGUGGCUUCCUCUAACCAAUUUACCAAGGAAGAGAUAUUUUCAUAUUUUCCUUAUGGAAUAUUUAUAAAUCAUGUACAAAAGUUUUUGGAAAUCUUUCCUUGAUGAUUUUCCUUUCUCCAAAAUAAAUCUUUGAUUCCUUGGAUUCCAAAUAACUUAUAAUUUAUCUCUAUGUCAGCUUCUACUCCAGUCUUCAAGUCAGCUAUACAACUUCAAAUCAUGUAGCACUUUUUGUACUAUUUCACAACUGGUACAUAAACAACUUAGGGAGGUUGUAUUUUUCGGCUUCUAAAACUCUGUCGUCACUGUGCUGAGAAUAUCCCACUGAGGAUUGAGUUUUAGAAUACAAUCUGCACACAGUCAUAUCAAGCACCAUACUUCUUGUUGUACUCUAUCAUCCAUCUUGUCUUUAAGAUCUCAUCAGUGACUUCGGUGACCACUCUAAUACCAAUUAAAACUUCAAAUAGGUCUGAUAUAAAGAGUAAUACAUACAUGUACAAUGUUUUAUUAUGACACAAAGUAUUACAGCAUGAAAUAAUGAAUGUUUCUCUUAUAAAGAAAAGGUGUAUUACUAAUCCUCUUUCAAGUCUACUUAUAUGUCCCACUUAAAAAACAGUAGCCUAACAUGUUCAAUCAUCUAUACAUAAUACAAGAGCCCUCAUGACACUUUAGUCCUUAUGUUUUGUGUUCACAUACAUUGAACUCCAAAAUCUUUAUGUUUAGGAUGGUGCCGAAUACAAAGCACCUCAUAAAAUACUUAGGGGCUGUUUGUUUCACCAUUUGUCAUCUCCAUCCAAAUGAUUCAUUCAGAUGAUUCAUUCAGAUGAUCCAUUCAGAUUUUUGUGAUUGUUUGUUUGUCCAUCCACAUGGUUCAUCAAGAUGAAUCAUCUAAAUGGAUCUUAUGUUUGUUUCUUUAUUUUCAUUUCCAUUCAAAUGAGUUUAGUAAACAAAUUACCAAAAUACCCUUGUGUUGGUUUAAUCAUAUGUUUGAUAUUAAUUAUAACUAUACUACAUUUAAUUAUUUAGUUUAAUAUAUUUACAUUAGAAUUUUUUCAAAAUGAACGAUUUUCUUUUUGCGAUUUGGGCGAAAAAAAAAGAUUUUUCGGUUUUAGAGAGAAAACACAUUUUUCGGUUUUGGCGGAAAAACAAGAUUUUUCGGUUAUGGCGGGAAAACGAGAUUUUUCGGUUUUGGCGGGAAAAUACAAAUUUUUGGUUUUGGCGAGAAAACACAUUUUUGCGGUUUUGGUGGAAAAAGACGUUUUUGGUGGGAAAACGCGUUUUUUGCGGUUUUGGAGGAAAACACGUUUUUGCGAUUUUCGCGGGAAAAUGAAAUUUUUCGGUUUUGGCAAGAAAGCGAGAUCUUUCGUUGGAAAACGCGUUUUGCGGUUUUGGCGAAAAAACGCGUUUUAGCGGGAAAAUGCGUCUUUACGAUUUUGGCGGAAAAAUACGUUUUUGCGAUUUUGGCGGGAAAACGCGUUUUUGCGGUUUUGGUGGGAAAACACAUUUUUCAGUUUUGACGGGAAAGCAAGAUUUUUCGGUUAUGGCGGGAAAAAGCGGUUUUUUUUGUGUGGUUUUGACGGAAAAACACGAUUUUGGCGGGAAAGGGUGUUUUUGCGUUUUUUUGCAGUUUUCGCGGAAAAAAUGAGAUCUUUCGGUUUUGGCAGGAAAACGAGAUUUUUCGGUUUUGGCGAGAAAAAUGAGAUUUUCGGUUUUAGCGGGAAAACACGUUUUUUUUUGUUUUGGCGGAAAACGUGUUUUUGCAAUUUUGGUGGGAAAACGUGUUUUUGUAAUUUUGGCGGAAAAUUGCGUUUUUGGGGUUUUGGCGUGAAAAAAUAGUUUUUAAGUUUUCACGGGAAAACGUGUUUUUGUAGUUUUGUCAGUUUUCGUAUAUGACAAAAAUGAUAUUAUGUUUAGGUUUGUAAUUUAUGAAUUACAUUAGGGGCAUAAUAGACUUUAUAUCAUUUUGAAUGAACCAUCUUCAUUCAAAUGAUCCAAAUUGGUUCAGCUGAAUGGACUUUAAAAUUAAGCCUAAAUUUCCAAAAGUCAUCCGGAUGAUCCAUCUGAAUGAAUUGCACUUUUAGUACCUAAACAAACAAAACUCUCAUCUUCAUCCAAAUGAUCCAUCCGGAUGGAGAAACAAACAGGCCCUUAGAUUUCUCACUCUAGUCAACUUCUCAAAACAUAGAUAUUUCUAAGUUUUGUACAAAAACUUUUGAAAAUAUUUCCUUGAUGAUUUUCUUUUUUUUUUUUCCAAAAUAAAUCUUUGUUUUUUAGUCCCCCUAGGGUGAACCUCUUAAUAUAAUUUGAGAAUAUUUUGUUUCCUUUUUUAAAAGAUAUCGAACUUGAAAUAAUGAAAUCCUAUUGGUUGGUCAACCCAAGAAUAACUCUUUAUAAAUCGGCUUUUUCCACAUGCUUAUGAUAAUGUUUGUUUCCUGUAUUACAGGAACUUAUUGUUGCCAAGUUCUUUAUUGUUUAUAACUAAUUUAGGAAAUGAUUAGGGAAAAGACAUGGAAAUCAUUAAAUUAGAGUAGUUAUUACUUCAGUGGCAUUGAUAUAUAAAUAUUUUAUAAGUUUUAGGGUAAAUCUAUAUUUGUACUUUUGUUUUAAUAAUAUAGAUAAGCAUAUAAACAGUAAACAAUUCAAAACACAUAAAAACUCCAAAAGAAAACAAAGAUGGCUUCAACUCUAACGGUCAUCAUGAAAACAAUCUUCCUCGUACUCAUCUUUCUCUCUUUUAAUAUCUCUCCGGUAACUUCAACGACACCAGAAGACUGCGGAAGCGAGUCAGCUAACCCGGCACAACAAGGCUAAACCUUUGCCUCUCAAGUUCAUAGCAAAUGCAGCCAGUGAUUGUGAUAAUGACAUUUAAGCACAUUUUCACUAUUGUUAAGUGUUUCGCCUUAGGGAUUAUCCUUGGAACUGGUUUUAUGCACGUUUUGCUUGAUUCUUUUGAGAUGUUGUCAUCACUAUGUCUUGAAAGAAAUCCUGGCACAAGUUUCCAAUUUCCGAUUUUCUCUCUUAAUCACUUUGGUCAUUGAUUCCAUGGCUACAAGCAUCUAUACUAGCAAGAACGCAGUUGGGAUCUGAUGCAGCGCAUCCUCAUCGGGUUUUUUUUUUUUUUUUGUAACAGCAUCCUCAUCGGUUUAGCAUCUCGUUUACACACUAAACCGAGUUCGUGUAGUCCUUAUCUAUUUAGGAGUUUGAGCUUUAUCUUUUAGUAUUAGUGGCUUUAAUUAUAUGUUUAGAUAAUUCUUUUUCACGUGUUUUUCUUUAGGGUUAUCAACGAUCCCAUUAUAUAAGAGACUCAUCUCCUCUUGUAAAGGUCACGACUUAUUUGAUUAAUAAUAUUAAGAGCUUUUCAACUCUAAGCCUUGUUCUCGGAUAGAGCUAGAUUUUCAACUAUCUCAAGAAGGCAAAGAUUCUUAGUGCAUGUUUAUUACAGGUCUCUUAGGUUGGGUCUCUUAUAUUACGCUAAGAGACCCAACCUAAGAGACCUGUAAUAAACAUGCUCUUAGGUAUUCUCAGAAUCAAUAGCUAGGUUACUUGCGUUAUUCGUAGCUUCCGGCCGCUACACCAGGAUCAUACCACAUGCACAUGGUCACGGCCCUGGAAAUGAUGUUACCCUACCAACUCUUGCGAUACCGAGUCAUUGCUAUGGUUAGUACACAUAUGGAUGUAUUCGAAACCGAAUAUUAAUUGAUGAUAUCAUUUUAAAUGAUAUAGCCUAAUAUAAAUCUUAUGAAUACAUAGUGGAACUUGGAAUCAUAGUUCAGUACUUUGUGGUCAUUGGACUAUCUCUAGGAGUAACAAGUGAUAGGUGCACCACUAAAGGACUCAUCGCAGCUCUUUGCUUCCAUCAAAUGUUUGCAUGGGUCUUGGUGGUUGCAUUCUCCAAGUAUAUAAAAUUAUAUCUAAAAAUUAUCUUAUGUCAAGAUGUUAUAGAAUUGUAACUAAUAAAAUUUUAAUGUUUGAAUCUUUUCAGGCCGAGUAAACGAACUUGAAGAAAUUUCUUAUGUCGUUUUUUUUUUUUUUGCGAUAACAACACCAUUCGUAAUAGCGUUAGGGAUCGCUCUUUCGACAAUGUAUAGAGCCAAUAACCCCACUGCAUUAAUCACUGUGGGAUUGCUCAAUGCAUGCUCCGGUGGAUUGCUCAUCUACAUGGCGCUUGUUGACCUUCAUGCGGCCGAGUUCAUGGGACCAAAGCUUCAAGGUAGCGUCAAAAUGCAGAUCAAGUGUUUCAUUGCGGCUCUUCCAGGGUGUGGUGUCAUGUCGAUCAUCGCCAAAUGGGCUUAACUAAGUUUCCGGAUAAUACUGCAGAACUGAUGUCAUGUGGAUUUUGUUGUCGAACUAAAAACUGUUUUUGGUUUAAGUCUCGAUUCUUAAUCGUUCUUUUCCCUUUACAAGAUACUUAUCUGUCAUAUUUUAUGUCCUUUUGUACAUAUGUAUUGUGAUUGGUCCUAGGGAUGAGCAUUCGGAUACCCGUUUGGGUUCAGAUCGGGUAUUUCGGUAUAGAGAUAUAGAAUCCUUUCGGGUAUUUCUACACUUCGGAUUGGAUUCAGGUAUUUUAUGUCCGGAUUCGGUUAUUUUUGAUCGGGUUUCAGAUAUUUGGAUUUUCAAGAAAAAAAAUUAAAACUUCAUUGUUUAAGUUUUUUAUAUUUAAAAUAUACUUUUAAUAUAAUUAGUUUUCUAAUUUUUAAUAGAUUAAACUAUUAAUAGAUUUUGAAAUAAAAAUUUAAAAAUAGAAAAAUACUAAUUUAGUUGUUGUUUUGAAAUUUUGGAUGCAACUUUUGUUAAAGUAAAAAACAAGAACUUGAUAUAUGUUUUAAGUGAGUAGUAAAUGAUUUUUUCCAUAAUUAUACACAUAUUAUCUGAUUUUUAGCCGUAGUAUCAAUAUAGUUCUUUUCGUAUAAGUGUAUUUAUUGUAUUCGCAUCACAUUUACAUAAAAACAAACUUUUUCAAGAUUAGCAAAUUAUAGAAAAAAAAUAUUUGUUACGUUUUUUAAUUCGGCAAGCUGGAUGCCAAACAUUAAUGGAACAUUAGUAACAUUAGUCUAUAUAUAAGUAGGCCGGUACACCGUACACAUGCCCAUUGUUAACAACAUGCAAUCUAUACUGCUUCAAUUCUGAAUUUUACUUUUCUGAUGUGUUCGACGCGGAUUCUUUGGUGAUAUUCAUAUUUUUACCGGCUGACCAAUACCAUUAGAUUUGUUUUGGUAAUAACAUCCUUCAAAACAAGAAGUUAAAGCAGUAACCAAAUGAUGGUGAUCAAGAUCCAAUAUAGUGUAAUCUUUAGAAGUAUAUUAUAAAAUGACAAAAGAAAGGUUAAUUAGGUUGUCUUAACAGCACCCAUAACAAAUCCCUUUACAGCAGAAUACUUGAAAAUUAGGCAAUUUCAUAUAGUUUUUCUUACCUAACAUUUUCGUUUUUAGUCUAUUAGUGUUCAAUCUGAAACCCAUUUUUCACACCACACAAAGGGAAUGAUAUUGAAGUCCGGUGAGGGAUAAGACAACCAAUAUCCCGCAAGUAAUAGUCCAGAAAAUUUCGGUGACUAUUUUUAUGAUUUUAAAAACUAUCAAGUCAGUUUUGUUUCAAAGGAAAAACUAUCAAGUCAAUUAUCUUUUCUUUAUUCGCCAGUCAAUAAUCUAUAUCAGAUAAUUGUUACAAAAGAUAAGCAAAAUUAAAGACAAUUUGAAAGUUGGUCGUAUUAGAAUGCCUUAAACAAAAGAAUCAGUUGCAGAGAAAUUUGUUACUGCACAUUGCAUAUAUGACAUACCAUUAAUUAUAUAUAUUACGGCAUAUUACAUAAUAUCCAAUACAAAAGAAUAUUUAAACCUUGACAAUGAUAUGAAAGCAAAUAAUUGCGAAUAUGGAUAAAUCAGCGUUACCAAACCAAUUCAUUGUUUUCUAAAUUAACUACUUCAGCUAGUUAAACUUUCACCAAACUUGCCUCCAUGCCUAGCCAUCGUCCUUCUAACUUAUGUCCCUAGACGUGCAUAAAUAAAAUUAUAAGUGACAUUUAAUAUGAACAUAAUAUAUUAUUCGAACUGGCUAGCAAGAUGUUUUAUAAAUUAUUCGAUAUUUUUCAAUAUGUCUUCAAAUCCUUCAUUUUUGACCAACAUAUUAAUUUUAAAUGUGAAUUAAAUUCUGAAAAUCAAUUUUUUUCCUUCUAUUUUUGGUACGAUUUUGAAGAAGUGUCAAUAACUUAUUUACGAUCAAAACACUCGACUGCAAAUACUUAUUAUUUGGGUUUGCGAUGGUGUUCUUCUUUGAUGUGGAAAUAUUCUAAGUCUUUUUAAAAAAAAAAUCCGACAUAAAUAAACGAAACUUGUAAAAAUAGCAUAUAACAAACGUCCCCUGAAAGAAAAACAGCUCUUUAUUCAAAGGGAACAACGAGUUUAAAAACAGCUCUUGAUGUACGGCUAACUCCAUAAUUUCAUGGAAUAUAUCAAUACUAAUUCACUUAAAAGUAUGACAAUCAAAAACAUGUAUAUGUGUUAGCAAAAAAUAAUAAUAAUAAUGUUAGCAAAAAAAAAUCAAUAACAUGUAUAUUAUCCAAAAUUCCAAAUAUACAAUAGCGCGUAAACUCAAUAAAACGUUAAUUUAUAUACUCCAUGAAAUUAUGGAGUUAGCCGUACAUCAGAUAUAGUGGACAAUAUAAAUCAUAAUUCUUAUCCUAAAGAAUAUAAUAAGAGGUAUGUUAAUAACUAGUAAACAAUAAUUUCUGCACCACCAACAAUAAAUGGCAUGAAAAGAACCGGCGUACAUUACUAUAUAAACAGACUCAUCGAACAGGUGCAAAGACACACAAACAACCGAACAGAACACAAAACCAAAAGAAAAAAUGGCUUCAACUUCAACACUUCUAAUGAAAACAAUCCUCAUCGUACUCAUCUUUGUCUCUUUCACAAUCUCUCCGGCAACUUCAACGGUGCCCGAAGAAUGCGCAAGCGAGUCAGCGCACCCUUGCGUCAACAAAGCUAAAGCUUUGCCUCUCAAAAUCAUAGCAAUUGCUACAAUCCUAGUCGCAAGCAUGGUUGGUGUUGGAGCUCCUCUCUUUAGCCGUUCCGUGCCGUUCCUGCGACCCGAUGGAGACAUUUUCACCGUGGUUAAGUGUUUUGCCUCGGGAAUUAUCCUCGGAACCGGUUUUAUGCACGUUUUGCCUGAUUCUUUUGACAUGUUGUCAUCCAAAUGUCUUGAAGAGAACCCGUGGCACAAGUUUCCCUUCACGGGGUUUCUCGCUAUGUUGUCUGGUCUAAUUACUCUAGCCAUCGAUUCCAUGGCUACGAGCCUCUAUACUAGCAAGAACGCAGUUGGGAUCGUGCCACAUGGUCAUGGUCAUGGUCAUGGUCACGGCCCCGCAAAUGAUGUUACCUUUCCGACAAAAGAUAAUGAUUCCGAGACUGCACAACUCUUGCGAUAUCGAGUCAUUGCUAUGGUUAGUAGUAGUACACAUGUUGACAUAUUAGAGAAACUGAAUAAUAAUUGACGUUACCAUUUUAUUAUUUCUUGAAUUUUAUAGACAUUACAAGUAUUAAAUACAUCAUUGUUUUAAUAUUUAUUGAUAUGUAGGUAUUGGAGCUUGGAAUCAUAGUUCACUCGGUGGUCAUUGGACUGUCUCUAGGAGCAACUAAUGAUACUUGCACCAUCAAAGGACUCAUCGCUGCUCUUUGCUUCCAUCAAAUGUUCGAAGGCAUGGGUCUUGGUGGUUGCAUUCUCCAGGUAUAUUAAUUUAUAUAUAAGAAAACUUUAUCUUCUAACAAAAUGUUAAAACUGAAAAUAAUACUUCCAAUGUUUGAGAUGUUUUCAGGCUGAGUAUACGAACUUGAAAAAGUUUGUUAUGGCAUUCUUUUUCGCGGUGACAACGCCAUUCGGUAUAGCGUUAGGAAUCGCAUUAUCAACCGUUUACAGAGAAAACAGUCCCAAUGCGUUGAUCACCGUUGGACUUCUCAAUGCAUGCUCGGCCGGAUUACUAAUUUACAUGGCCCUUGUCGAUCUUCUAGCAGCCGAGUUCAUGGGGCCAAAGCUUCAGGGUAGCAUCAAAAUGCAGUUCAAAUGUUUCGCAGCCGCUCUUCUCGGCUGUGGUGGAAUGUCGAUUCUUGCCAAAUGGGCCUAACUAAUAACCGCGAGAUGUUGCGGCAUGUGGAGUUGGCUUUAGGUUUGAGUCUCGAUUCUCUAUCGGUUUUGCUUCCUUACAAUGCACUUACGUGGUACUAUCUACCACAUUUGGAAGAACAUGUAUGUUGGUAGAUAUUUAAUAAUGUGAUUGUUCCCACGAGUCCAUAGUCUUUUUAAUGUUCCUUUUUAUUUUCUUGUGGUUUAACUUUGUCGUGUGAUGUUUUGGCAUGUUGUAUAAUACUAAUAAAACGUUUGUUUCUUUUACAUGAUUAGAAAUUCAACUAUAACUAACUAAUUACGGCUGUGUAAUCUAAAUCCGGUAAAGCUACAACCUACAGGCCAAUAACUGAAACAGUAUCUCAGUCUAUAGAAUUAGGCCAGUACAUAGGCAUAAUCUAUAAAGUUAGGCCAGUACAUAGGCCUAGUCUGUAGAAUUAAUUAGGCCAUUAUUUAGGCCCAUCGUCAAUUUACCUGCAUACCAAACUGCGUCAAUUGUAUUUACAAGGUCUAAGAUCAGCUCUAUGCAGGGGCGGCUCAUGUCGAGAGGUGGUAGGAGAAAAAAGCAAGCUCAGCAAAUGUCGUAAGACUCAUAACGGUCUUUGAAAGCUUCUGGUUUAACUUGAAAAUCCAUCUCCAGUUGUAGAUUUUUUUGCUUGAAAGAAGCUGGUCUGAUAAUACUAGCAGCCUAUUUAGAGCAUCCGCCAGGCCCGUGCCUUCCAUAAGGCUGAUGAAGCAAGAGCUUCAGGCCACAAAAAAAAUUAUAAUUUUUGAGGCCACAUUUUCAAAAUAUAAAUAUAGUUGAGUGGUUAAAAAUAUUGGUUUUGACUUCUUAGUUUAAGUAUUUUCUUUUCUGUAUUGUGAUUUUCUUAUACUUUUAAAUGUCUCUGUUUUUAUUUUAAUUAUGUUCACGUUGUAUUUAUCUUUUGUUUUAGACAACUGAUUUGUUAUUUCUUUUGUUUCUAUUAUCUUUGCUAUUUAUAACCAUUUGUUAUCAUUGGAGGUUUUCUAAUCUCCAUCAUUGCAUAUGAAAUUAUAGAAAGUAAAGAAAAAUGUAAUGUGAUUGAAGGUGUAUGUGAGAAAGAAACUAAUGUUAGAAUAUAAUGGUUCAAAAAUAUUUUUCUCUAAAACCUUUUAACAAAAAAAAAUGGUUCAAGAAACUACUAAAUGUGAUUUAAUAUUUGUUAAAAACACUAAACAAUAUAAGUACAAUAUCAAUUAAUAGUCUACUAUUCAUCUAAAUUUUUUAUACAGGACUAAACAAAAAUAUGUUUCUCUUAGAAAUAAAAUAUUGUUAUAUUAUAUAUAGUAUGUUGAUAAAAAUAUCAUUAAAUAGCAUAAGCCACUAUUUAUAAUUAUGCUUUAGGCCACAAAAUAUAUUGGGACGGCACUGGCACCCGCAAUAGUGUUAUUCAAAGGGGAGUCCUUAGAAAAAGUGUAUUUUGAUUUUUUAAGUAUUAUUUUUUUUUUCUUUUUUAGAUAAAGAAAAAAUAAAUAUCAACCAAUCGCGGAUCGCCACAUGUCGCCGGGACCCGCAAAUAGUGCAAGGAUUCACUAAGAAAGAGUCCUUUUUUAAGAGUUUUAAGGAUUGAAUCCUUAGCUUUUGGUGGAGUCCAUCGAUUAUUUAAUUAUUUUUUUCCUAAGGACUCUCCCUUAAAGAUUCUUAUUGCGGGUGCUCUUAAGAAGAUAGGCAAUUGAUAUUGUUAAAUCAAAAACACAGAUACAUUGGUUAAACUGAAAUAUUUAAUUUUGUUGUUAUAUCGACAAAAUAAGGCUGAGAAAAUUACAUCUGAAGACACAUUUUUACUUUUUUUUUUUUUGUCAUCUAUUAGAUUAAAAUUCGAUUUGCAUCAGUUCUUACACAAAGCCGGCAAAGGUAUGACACCUUUCCGGAGCCAAGAGCCGGCGUGGUACAAGAAACCACCCGGAGCCAAAGAAAAAACUAAACUCGACUACACAGUUUAAAGAAAACAGGGAAAUAAAGAAGCCUACCAAUAAACUGGAUAACAAGCAUAAAUUUCAAGAAAGACGAAGCUGAAAGAACCGGAAGCAGGAUUGAUCGAGAAAGCGAAAUAAGCCUGAAUUAUUGGGGUUGAACGAAGAUCUCCUUAAACCGUUCCUCUAGGAACCACGAGCAAUCAUACACUUACCACCUCUUCUACACAAGAAGCCAGGAGAACACAACUCAUCAACCCGAGCAGCCAACGAAGGACACGAACACGUUUGGCGAUUGACCACUCUAAGACUAUCGCAAUUGAGCAAAAGCUCCAAAGCUCCUUACUAAGAAUACCGGAAAACCCGUAGGCUUCAUACCAAGGGACAGCACAGCUUCAUACCAAGGGACAGCACAGCUUCAUACCAAGGGACAGCACAGCUUCAUACACAUUUUUACUUUCUAAUAUCAUUAAAAAACACAUCCUACUUGCAACACACAUUUAUUAUGUUUAUUGUCCAUUUCACCCCUUAAACAAGAUUCCCUCUUUUUUUUUUUUUGGACAAAAAUUCUCUCUCUCGUUAGUUAUUUUUUUCCUACCAAAACUUUCUCUUUACUCUCUCUCUCUGCUUACUUAUUCUUGGAUAUUUCUUUGUUAUUAAUAGUGAUUGUUGCAAAAUCUUUGGAACUUUUUUUUUGAGAAAACGUCUCUUCUUCUUGAUUCUUCUGUUUCAUUUUUCCUAAUCAUAUUUCUCUGACAUUUUACUAUCACUGAUUUGUUCCACGAGUCGUUUACCUGAGUCGCCGAUUCGUUCGCCUACCAGAGUCGAUGCCAUGUUCGACCCCAAGAAAUGAGAAACCCAAUUGGAUAUUCUUCUCUGAGUCUGUCCAGCUCGUCUUAAACCUCCCCAAAGUCUCUCAGCUGAUACUGAUCCGAAGAUGAAGCAAAGUUUUAUGAUGUUUGUAGUGGUCGGAGAUUUAGUCAUUGUAGCAUCCUUAUGAUGUUGCUGGAUGUUGUUGUAUAAAUCAUGUCUUUCACCAACUUUAGUCGAGACGUUAUAUUAUUCGUUUUGCUUGGUGUUUGUAGGGAUACAUAAUAAAGAAAAUUAAUUUGUUUCAUAAGCAAUGAACAAAUCUGAAAUCUUGGUUAGAAGACACAACAUUAGCAUAGUCAGUAUAAUUGCGCUUAUAGUUGGAUCAAGUUAGUUUAAAUGAGAAUUCUUGAACGAGAGUUCUUGAAUCAUGUUCAUUCAGUUUUUUUUUUUUAUAAUUUUUUUAUAUAAAUAACUAUAUUUUUUGUAUAAGUGGAUGGUAAAAAUGGCUUGAAUUUUUGGUGUCAAAAGUUAGUUUUUAAUUUCUUCUUUCUCUGUAAAACCAUGGACAAUGCAUCUCUUUUUGGUUUCCAAUCACCUUAUACACCAUCCAUUGCAUACCCAUACAAGAUAACCCAUUUAUAAAACAUCACCCACAAUACACCCAUCCAUGAGAUACUCAUACACAUAUUCACGAUACAAGGUCCACAACACACCAUCCACGAUAAACCCAUCCAUGAGAUUCUCAUGCACAUAUUCACGAUACAAGGUCCACAACACACCAUCCACGAGCCACUGUCCAAGAACCACCCAUUCAUAAGCCUUAUAACGAUACACAAGUUUCCAUAUAUCAUUGUAUUAGUACUCCACAUACUCUCAUGCAUGGUUCAUAUAUAAGAUCACAAAGUACAAGCCAUUGCAUAUUUGACCUUGACCAUUUAUCUUCUAUCCACACAUUGUUUGUCCACAAAUUUUUAUGUACUAAUUACUAAAGUAUAUCAAAAUGGAUAUCAAAAUGUAGAUAAUUUUUUUUUACAAUUGAUUAUACCAAAAAAUAUAUUUUAUACCUUUUUCACGUUUAAAAUACAAGCAUAUAUGAAGGAGUCAAUGAAAACAAUCUCAAAACCUAUAGACAACCUGUUUUCCACCAUUCAAUAUUUGAUCAAUUAAAUAAUUUGUUUUUUUUUACUUUCGUUUUAUGUUUGAACUAUAUUCUUACAUAACAAAAGCCACUAGGUUAUACGAUACACAAGGGUAUUUCUGCCAUAUAUUGGUUUUGAAAACAACAAAUGUGUUGCUCAAACAUAAAGUGUCUCUGAACGCUAAAGUAAAGACAAAUGUGUCUCAGAGAGUAACUCACUCAAUAAAGUUAGAUAACAACUUAGGGUGAGGGAAAUAAAAAGCUUUAAUGGGUAAGUUGCAGAAAAGCGAAAGUGCGUUUAAAAACUACUCAUUCCGUUUCAAUAUAGAUGAUGUUUUAGAAGGUUUGUUUUGUUUUAAUUUGCAUGAAGUUUUGAGAUUUUAAAGAAGUUUUGAGAUUUUAAGGUUAACUUUAACUUUAUUGGAAACUGUUCAACCAAUUAGAUUUUACAAUCUUUUUUAUAAUUGAUUAUCUGAUUUUAAAAUUAUAUGUUUAAAAUAUUUUUCUAAAGAAAUGUAAUUUUCUUAAUCUUUGUGUACUAUUACAAGACAUAGCUAUUUCAACAACUACAAAAUUUUGCAGAAUACAAAAUAAAGAACAUAAAAGUAAAUCUACGUUUUUGUUUACAAAAAAAAUAUAGAUAAACUUCCAUUAAGCAAGAAAAGUGAAUAAAUAGAUUAAUUGAUUCCAUUCAUAUUAUUUGAUCAUAUGAUAAUAAUAUUUUAGACUCUUGGAAAAAAAUUAGACUCUUAAAAAUUAUAUAAUGUUAUAGUUAUAUAAUAUAUGAUAGAUCAAAUAAUAUACAAUAUAGUUUAAAUGAGAAAUAUCAUUAAAUAUCCAUAAAAAUAUUUUAUCACAAAAAAAUAACUCACAAAGAAAAAUAACCAAAAUAGUUUUCACUAGAGAAAUUAAAAACACUAUCCAUAAAGUUAAUUGGUUAAAAAUUAAAGUUUAGUUAUUUGAAAAGGAGAGUUUAUGGUUUUAGGAUUAGAGUCUAAAGUCUAAAAUUUAUGAAUUUAAGAUAUAAAAUUUAAAUAAUAAUUUUUUAUUGAUAUUUAUAUUGUAUUAUUCACUAAUGGUACAUUAGUUUUUUACUCUUUAAGGAAUAUUAUUUUGGUCAUUUUUUCUUUGUAUGUUAUUUUAAUGAUAAAAAAUUAAAGAAUGUUUUAGGAGAAUUGUCCUUAAAAAUUAUUUCACAUUUUAUAUUCAUCAUUUCCUAAAUCUUAUACAAAAAAUACUCUAUCAUUGUAACUUUGUAGAUUUUAAAUUAUCUAAAAUUUGAUUAUAUUUCUCAUUAUUUCACGAUCAUAUAAUAUAAUCAAUCUAAACCUUACAUAUGUAUCUAGGGGAGUGUCCAAACAAUGAAUAGGGGAAGCGUGAGCAGCAGUGAAUGAGCGAAGACAUUGAAAUAUGUGGUUUGACAAUCUUGUAAAUUCAUUAGCUUCUGUUCGAUAGAGUCGUACCAUUUUCAUUUUGGCCACUAUUAUGUAUGUACGUGGCAUUGAUCCCAAUCCAGGAAAAUAUAGACAAUUAUUGGACAGAGACAUGGCAACGUUUCUUGGACGCAAUCAUCGUAAUUCGUGAAUUCACACAUCGCAUUCAUCGUUCUAAUUUGGUUUAUAUUCUUUUUUUUUUUUUUUUUAUAUCCCUUAUAUACUAAAACGCAAGUCGCCUAACGAAUUAAAAGCUGCCAUGUGGAAAAAAUUUAGAAAAAAAAAUUGCCAAGUGGAAAAGUUUUACAAUUUUUUAACAGCAUAAAUGCAAAAAAAAAAAAAUUAAUGCAAAAACAUUUUUGUCUCUUUAUCUUAACUGUUUAAUUUUUUUUUUAAUAUAUACUAAAAUCCCUAAGAUUUCUCAGCCAUGAACCCAUGAUUUUGUAACAGUUACUCUUUCUCUACAUAAACUCAAAAUGCCUAUAACGUAAACUGAUCUUUACUUCUUUCAGAAAAUUUUAACUCCUAAAUUCUUUGUAACAAAUUCUCUCUAAAAUAUGAUAGAUCGAAAACUUCUACCGUAACCACAAUAUCAAGUCUACCACUCGGGAUCCAUAUCAACAUAAUCUCUGGCCAAUAUGUGGCACAAGAAUAUUCUUCAAAAUCUUUUCAUGAAUUGAGAAAAGAAUCACAAGUUUUAUCCGUGCAUAGUAGGCUGAAGAACUCAAAGUCCUGGUCAGUAACUCUGGAAACACUCAAACUCUUCUAAUCUACUUAUUGCUUUCAUUUUCUUUGGGUUUAAUAGUUAUAAGCAAAAACUACAUAGUGGGUGAAAACCAAACAAGUCGAUAACAUUUUCAAACCGGAUUAGAUCAGUCCUGGAUUUUGUUAUUUUGUAUUGUGCUGAUAAUUCAGGGAGGGAAGGAGAGUAAGAGUGACUUACCUUAAAGCAAACGUACAAGGCCUUUAAAUUUUUGAGACAUGCCACAUCCGGAAACAAGUGUAUUCUUAUUUAUUUUUGGAUAAUGUCUCUUAUGUUACUCAACUUACUUUUUGAAACUUUUUUUGUAGCUUUGAAUAAAUUUUUAUCGUGGCUAACAAAUAGUGAUGUGAUGCCUCUUUUAAAAGUGUGGAAAGAAAACAAAAAGAAAUUAGCACUUUUUGCUAAAAAAACCUAGCACUUUUUUGGUAAAAUUGGGUAUGUUUAUAAUUUCACAAAUUUUUUUAUAAAGAGUAUUAGAGUGUAUUCCUUUUAAUUUAUAAAUAGUAUUAGAGUAUAUUCUACUAUGGUGUUACCGACAAAAUUGGGUAUUGUUUAUAAUUUCACAAAAAGAAAUUUAUAAUAGAUCAUAUUCAAGUAUUUUACGCUUUUUUUUUUGUUAAAUAAAAAUUUGACUAUUUUAUUCAUGUUUAAUAUUAUUUUUUAUUGUUUAUUAUACUAAUCAUUAAGAAAUUAUAUUUUUGAAAAGUCUUAUUAAAUAAAAAUAUGAAUAAUACUGAAUAGAUUAAAUAUAAUAUUUUAAAUAUAAUAAAAAUUUGACUUCGUGCAUAGCACGGGAUGAUAUACUAGCAUGUAAUAAUUAAAGAAUUUUAAAACCUUUUUUAGUGGGAGGAGGGGUCUCUUGUCUAGACAUGCACCGUACAUGAUAUGGUCCAAAUUUGAAAUAUUUAUUACACGACAACUAUAAUGACUAUGGACUGAAAGUGUCGUUGGGGCAAUCGAAUUUAGACUCUUUCUAUUUCUUUGAUAAUUUAUUUUAUUUUUAAUAGCGAAGUAUGAUUCUUCUUAUUUUAAUAUUUUGUGGGGUUGGAAAGAUAAAAGAUACUGCCAAACCGUAAGAGUAUAUAUAUAGAUGUACAGCUUUUAUAAUUUUUCAAUUUAUAUCGACAUUCUGCAAAUCUAUCAAAAUAGAGUUAGGUACUUCAAACUCAAGUAACUGACUUUGAGAAUUUAGUAACCAACCUACGGUGCAACUUAAAAGAAAAUUAAAAGAAAUUUGGAAUAUAUAUAUAUAUAUAUUUAACUUAAGCUUUCAAUUAAAUUUGGAAUAUUUACAUAUAUAACAAUCUAUGAUUUGAAUUAUAUCAUCGUGUGGAUUAUUUCAUCUUUUUACACGAUGAAAUAUUUCAACUUUAAAGAGAAUUUUAUUUGUAAAUAUCCCAAAUUUGGAAUAAAGUAGAAUAUCUUCCCGUUGAAUUAUUUCAUCUUUUUACAACUUUUAUUCUCGGAUUCCAUCGAAGUCGUAAAAUAGAAAAUCAAGAAUAAAUUCCCAUUUACAAAAAACUGUACUUAUAAAAAUAAAAGAAUUAAACAGCUAAAGUUUCUAGAAAACAAAAUACGAAUUUAAUAAUAGCACUAAAAGAAGAGAAAAAAAAGUUAUGAAGACAUGUUAACAUGUACACUAGCGUUCAUGACCGAAUCACAAACCGGACAAGUUCGUAACAAAGCCGAACCACAGACCGUACACAAACACAAAUGACGACAAGGUAACACCAGCACACUCGCUUCUCUCUCACCGCACCGCUUGCAACCGCCACUAACCGCUGUAAUAGCUUCACCACCUUCAACGCAACUUCCGCAGCUCGACUCCACGUCGUUUUCUACAGCGGUUGGUAGCGUUUUGAUUUGAGCAAGAACUUGGUCGAGGUUUGUUCGAAGAUUGUUAGCUUGUGCCUCGUUGGUCUGAGCUAUAUCUCGCCAUAUUUGAUUUUCAACAAAAAUACUCUUUACCCGCUCGUGUAACACGCAGUUAAGGUUUCUCAUCCGUAAAAUUUCGUCGUCUUUCUCUUUUAACUUCAUGGCUAACGCGUUUUGAACGGCAGACGCUAGCAUCUGCGUUUGAGUUUGCUGACGAGCUUCGAUUUCUAUUCUAAGCUUCUCCGUUUGCUGAGCUACGAACCGAUCAAUCUCUAACUGUUGUUGUUUUUGGAUGUGUGACACGAGUUCAGCGUUUAUCAACGAUGAUGGUGAACCAAACGGCCCGGACCCCAGUUUAACCGCAGACGCAAAGUGAGCGUCUGAGUCAAGGUAUUGAGAAACUCGCGGACGUUUUCUGGGCGGUGGAACAACGUUGAAGGAGUUGAAGUUGUAAGUGAGACCACUUUCUGAUUUGUUGAAGCUAGGUUUCGCAGCCGCGUUAGACAAAGGAUCUACGGUGAGAGUUUCUCCGGUAAUAAAUUCACCGUGGUUCAUGUCUUGUUUGAAGUUAACUCUGCAAAUAACACAAAAAGGGAUUAGAGGAAAUCAUUUUGAAUAACCUCGAGGAGCAUGGAAAUGAAGAAAAACAAGAUAACUUUUUAUUUUCAAGAAUGAAAUAAAAUGAAAAUCAGUAUCGGAGAAUAUUUUUACCUGUUUGAUAACAACUGAGGAGAGAAAAUGUUCAUGUGCCUAGCUUGAACAGGCAUAGAUACGUUUGUUAGCUUAAAAAGGAUCCGAGAGGCUAUGAAGGGAGAGAAAGAGGAAGGAGGGUUGUGGUGACUGGUGAAGAAAUCUAUGGGGAUUAGCUUUUAUUUAAGGAAGAGAAAAAGUCAAAAUCUUACUCUUCUAUAAAUAUUUUUCCUACUUUUUGCUAAGAAUAUUUUUAUAUAUUUAGUUUCUUAAAAAUAAUUUUCAUUUCUAAGAAAGAAGACAACCUUUAUGGUUAUAGUUACCAUUUUUGUUUGAUAUGCUUUUAGGUAUUAUUAGAAUUAGUUUCAAUAAAAUAGAAGUUUUGAAUAACUGAAUUUAUUAGCUUAAACAAAAGAUUUACUUCUUUAUUUCUGUAUAAAGAGACAAAAUAUAUGAGAUAUACUGUAUCUUUCGUGAAAUUCGCAGUGUUGAGUCUGUAAAGUAAAAUUUUGAUAUUUUUUCUAAUGUUUCCUUUUCUUCUUGAUGCACUCACGUAUGUUUCCUUAGCACACAAACGUAUGUCACAGACUAGCUUGGCUAGUCAAAGUACCAUUAAAAUAUUUUAUUCUGUAUUAUUUCUAAAACUGAAACAUUAAAAACAAGAGUGUAUAAACUGUUUUCAAUCUAACAUGCAAUUGUUACGUUUCUUGUAUUGUGUGUACAUUAAUCACUUUUCUCAGUCAAGCCAUAUCUUAAUUUUCCCUGUUGAUGCUCUGUAUAGAAGGGAAAAUUGUUUUUUAAACAAAAAAAUGAUAAUUAUGUCCCUUUAAACUAAUCUCUAUUACUUUAUGUUUUAUUAGAUUAAUUUUUUUUCAAAAUAGCAGUAAUGCUCUUAAAAUUGUAAUUUUUUAAAUAAAAUAAAUAAUGAGUUCGAUCAUGCGGGAUCGAUCGAUCCGCAUUUACAAAGUCCACCGGAUCGAUCGAUCCUGAUCAUUAUACAUGACAAAAAAUGCGGAGGAUAUACUGAUCUACCUAGUCCAUUUUACUCGAUUGGCGAAUGUCGAUUUAUAUAGAUCGACCGAUCUCUCAAUAUAGAUCGAUCGAUCCCAUGCCCAGGAAAGUUUUUGUGAAAAUGUUUGUGAAAAUUUUUGUGAAAUUUUUGUGAAUAAUCAAAUGGAAUAUAGAAGACGGCGAAGAAGGUUACCAAGUUUUUUUUCGUUUUUUAGUUCCUUUUUCGUUUUUUUAAAUCAAUUUUUUUUCAAAAUAUAAAAGUGAAUAUUCCAAAUAUUUUGUUUUCAUAUUUUUAGGAACUGAUUUCUUAUCCGUAGAAUAUAGCUAAUCUGUAGAAAUAGGUUUCUACAGUUUUUUUAGAAUUAUAGUAAUGUGUAGAUUUUGAUUUCUACAUGUUUUAGAUUUAUAGUAAAUCUGUAGAAGUCGGUUUCUACGUAUUUUAGAUUUAUAUUAAUGUGUAGAUUUUGAUUUCUAAAGAUUUUGGAACGGUAAGUUAAGCGCGGAAUGUGUAUUUAAAAUAUUUUUAGAAUACUCCUAUUUACGUAGAUCACGUGUUCUAAAUAUUAUAGAUUCAAUGAAAAAAGUGGAUUUCGUUUUCUUCUUCGUAAAAUGUCAUUUCUACUUUAUUUAGAACAUAAUCUGAAAUUUAUGAUUUCAACUUUUUUUAUAACUGAAAAAAAUAUCACUAAGUUCAUAUAGGUAUUUUAUCAAAAGUUACUAUUUUCUAAUUUUUUUUGUUUGUAAAAUUAUUUAUUAAAUUUAUUUUCAAAAAUAUUAAAGAGCGUUAUAGGUAAAAAUGACACAAAAUAAAAAUUAGUAUAAAAAGACAUAAUUAUCAUUUUUUUGCUCUAAGAAAUAAUUUUCCCUAUAUAGAAUUCAUAUAUAAGGAUAUAUUAAAUAGGCAAUGUAAGAAAAAAAAAAGAUAGUUUUCAUUUCAGUUUUAUUGAUUUAAAAUUCAAACUACCGUGGCAUAUCCGAGACCCGGGAACAUAUAUUAUUUUUAUAUUUUUUCGAGAGCAGAUAACUUUUUUUUACUUUUCCCGGUAAUUUAUAUUUUAUUUUAAUAGUUAAAAUACUAAACAAGAAGAACAUUUCCAAAAUAUAUAUUCUUAUCUUUAUCAUAUCGAUUGUGUCUUAUACAAAUAUCAUUACAACAAUAUAUUUGAGCAAAAAUUAUCAAACGAACAAAAUAAUAUUUCUUUUUUUUUUUUUUUUUUUUUUUUUUUUUGAACACACAAAAUAAUAUUUCUAUAACUUUUCUAAAAUACAACAACUGAUGUCAGAUUUUAAUAAGCUCAACAUGUCGUGAUACUGAGAUAACUGUGCACCAAUCAGUUCUCAAAUUAACCAAAAAGAAAAGACACAGCAGCCAUGAAUUUUCUUUUUACGAAAAAUAUUUACAGCAAGUAUACUAAAACUGCACGUUUGUAUCGGGCAAGCGUUUCUGCUUCACGCAUGUUUCGUUUGUGAUACCGCUCAGCUUACGGGCUUGGACUUUAGACUGUGUGUUUCGUUUGGCCCUUUAUGUCGGGCUUUAGCUUGUUUGUAUUUUGAGCUUUUAUGCUCUGUUGUAGUUGGGUUUGAACCCUUAAUAAAAUUAAUAGAAGGAAAAAAAAAAAAUACUAAAACUGCACGUGCGAGACGUGUGGGUCCAAUAAUAGGCCACGACAAAAGUGGGACCAAUGAAGCAACCUUUUUUUUUGGGCAACAAAGUGAAGUAACCUUUCUGUUUCAUUUUUCGUGAAACUACACUUACGCUUCGAAUGGUGACCAUCGUUCCGCUCCGCACUGUAGUUAGCAGUAACAAAAAUCUUUACAUAUACUAUAAAUUUAUACAUUUUUAUAAUUGUUAGAAUCGUACUGCAGUUGAAUCGUUUAUCCCACACCACUCAAAUCGCAGUCACCAUUGGGAACCUUAAUAAUUUUAUAUAAAUAAUUGUUUCGGUACCACCGUUUUGUUUGUCUCGUGUCGCUUUUAAAGAAUUUGUUAUCAUUAUUUUCCGAAAUAAUAAUAUAAUAAAUUUAAAAGUUGAAAGAGAACAUAGGAAACAUCCGAUAAUGUUUAAAGUACGGACAAGUAGGUGUUGUCAGAAGUGAGUGAUUUUUCUCGGUGUGGGACAGGUCGACCACAAGAAAAGAGAAGUCUUUCUUUUUCUUACAGUCAUGGACUCAUGCGUGUCUAUCUCUGUUUAAUUCUUAAUACUUUUCAGCCACUAAACCUUAUCCUGAUGCAAAUCUAAUGUACAUAACCAAUUUUUAAUGCAUCUUUAUUGUUUACACAUUCACUUUUAUCUUAGUUAUUAAUUCAAAUUGAGAAAUAUCAGAAGCUAGUAUAUACGGAUAUAAUAAUAAUUAUAUUAGUAUGAAGAUAUCUUGAUUUGAUUAAUUAAGCAUUUUCGGUUAGGUACACGGUACGUCAAUUUCAACUAUAUCUUCAUAUCUUGUCUGAAUAAAUGACUAAAAUUUCAUUGGAUCCAAUUCUAUCUUUUUUAUUUAUUUAUUUAAAAAGAAGUUAUAAUCUUUUUAUUCUGGCAUAGACAAAUCAUCAUCGGAUUUACUUUAUUCCUUUUACUCAUCUAAACACAAAGUAGUUAUGAACUUUUAGAAUAUUUGGGUUUUCUCUCUCUCUUCUCUCUGUUCUCUAUCUUCAUCUUUCACAGAGAAAGAGGAGAGAUGAAACUUGCUCGCCGGUUCCGUUCACCAGCUUAGGUUUCCCGUGGAUCGGGCUCCAGUUCCGACAACGACGUCUUCUACAGAGUCGAUUGGUCGGCUUUUGGCUCCAACGGCGCACCAGCAGGUCCGGUGUAGUCGUUGGCUUCUGGCUCCGAGUCUCACCUUCUCCUCCGGUGAUGACGUCGGGUUUUCUCCGGAGCUUUCCCGGUUUCAGUUUCUUCUUCGCUUCCUUGGUUCUCUUGUUCCAAUCAACUUCCGGUGUCCACAAUCGAUUGCUUCUUCCUCCCUUGGUUAAGGCUGAUGCAUCUUCGGGCUUUCUUCAAUCAUUAAAGGUGUUUGUAGCUACAUGCAGGAAAAGCGAUUGGUUGGAAGCGGUUGAUUUUGAUUGAAAUCUUUAAUUUUGAAGCGUAGAACUCUUGACUCGAUUUUUUAGCGUUUGUGGUGUUUCGACUGCUAGAGUCAUCUCGACGGCUUCUUCUCUUCGACGUCCUGUUUCCGGUGUGUCCGGUGGAUCGGCGGCGAGUUCUUCCGGCGAUGACUCUCCAGUCGUGGUGUCGUUGGCUGGUCACGUGUCGAAGUGUGUGCGACGGCUCGCUUUGUUUGAGCCUUACGGUGAAAUUCAUUGGUUUGGGUGUGGUUUUAAAUCGUCAAUGGUGUUUCCGGUGGAUUUGGAUGAGAUCUCGGGACUGUCCUCGAUGGAUCUCUCCGUUGGAAUUGUUUGGUGAUGAAGACGGUACGGUGUUUUGUUCAGGUGUGUUCCGGCGAAACUAGUGGCCGUUCUUCAUCUUUUCCGGCUAACCUUGGCGUUUGGGGUACCGAUGUGGUGAUCGGCUGACGCGUGUCUCCGUGAGGCGAGGGCCUCAACACGUGGGCAGGCAAGAGUUUGCCUGGACGUGUGUACAGUUGUGGCACCGUUCAGUUUAUGAGCUUGGGCCAUUGGGUUUGUUUCGGUUUGCCUUUGAUGGGCUUUAGUAUAUUUGUUUUGUCGGGCUUUAUGCUCUUUUGUAAUGGGUUUUCUGGGCUUGACCCAUCAAUAAAAUUAAUUCGAUGGAAAAAAAAAGUAGUUAUGAACUUUUAGAUCUUUUUGUAUUAUAUUUUUCUCAUGUGUUAAUUUAUACUUUUUAUGAAAACCAUAAACAAUUGUAUAAAGUAAUACAGAAAAAAAGUUGAGAAAAUAUAAGUUUUGGGGUGAACCAAACUCUAUAGAAAAAGACAUCUUCGGUCCCUUUUGAUCACCUUCGUUUAUAUUUUUUUUUGUCAACAUCUUCGUUUGUCUAAUACUCGAUUUCCUCCAUUGUCAAACAAAUACGCCUAACAUCAUCACUAUCUUAAAACUUGCUCAGAGUUUUUUUAAUAUCAUUUUAGAAUAGACUUAUUUGUCCCAUUAUACGUUUUCAUAUUCCUUUUUAUUUUUUUCUUCUCUAUAUAUUGAUUUCCUAAGCUAGACAAAACGAACAAGAUAGAUGGAGACAUACGUGGCCGAGUUCAUUCUUCGAAGAAAACGUGAUAAGAUGAAUAAUAGAUACUCAUAUAAGCUACGUUUAGUCAGAAUAAAGAUAUACAACUAGUGUGAAUUGAAUUUUUAAUACAGUAUAUAUUUGUCGUCAAAUGCAUGAAUUUGUAUAAACAUAUUAGAAGAUUCCUUCACGUCGCGGAUAAGUUGCACCUUAUGUUUUUGUUUUCUGUAUAUUUUGUCCAUAUGUUCAACUAAUUUGUUUUCUGUAUGUUUUGUCUACUACAGUUAAGCUUUUCGUUUUUUUUUUUGUUUUAUAUGCUACGGGUUAUGUAUGCUUGUAUAACAGAUAAUGACAUAUAUUUACGUUCGUAUUUAAUAUAAAAGAGAGGGAAAAUACGAGAGAGUGGAAAAAAAAGAACUCAUAUAAAGUGUUGAAAAAACAAAUUGGUCCAUACUUUCAGCACCAACUACUAGUAGGUUCAAUGAGAUUGAUACACAGCGGCUCGGGUUUAACUUAUAGCAGAUUAGGUCAACUCGGUUCUUGAAGUUCACGACUUCACGUGUCGAUUAUUAUAUAAUUUUACUAUGAUUCGUAUAAUUUAAGGGUAAAUUAGUCUGGAGGGUACGACAAAAAAUGAGUUAUUAUAAAAAUGACAAAAAAAAAAACAGAAAAAAAAGUUUGGUGUUUCUUAAGACUUAAGAGACAUUACAUAUAGACGCUAAGGGCUGGAUUGAUCCGAGCAACGUGUAACGAAAGAAAACACGGAGAUACUGAGAUAGAUUAAGG
rnacentral:lncRNA from 1 species